rnacentral:lncRNA from 1 species
UUUUGUUUUUUUGUUUUUUUGUUUUUUUGUUUUUUUUUUUUUUUGUUUUUUUUUUUUUUUUUUUGUUUUUUUUUUUUUUUUUUUUUUUUUUUUUUUUUUUUUUUUUUUUUUUUUUUUUUUUUUUUUUUUUUUUUUUUUUUUUUUUUUUUUUUUUUUUUUUUUUUCUGAAUCUAAUAACAGAGAGAAUUAAAAGGAGGGAUGUCAGUUGUGGUGAGGAAGAUAGGAUCAGUCACUUGCCAGAACACUUGAAAGACUCGAUUUUAGGCGGCUCCCGAUUGAAGAGGCUGUAAGGACAAGCAUUAUAUCAAAAAAGUGGAGGUACAGAUGGACCACAAUGAGGGUGCUGGUUUUUGAUCUGCAGUUCUCUAAAAAGUUUUCAAAAAAUGGAGCUUUUGGUCGUAAUGGGUUUAUAAGGAUCAUAAACAAAUUCUUGAUCCUUCACACGGGUCCAAUUUCGAAAUUUCUUCUCCAUAUACCAAAUAUUUUUCUUGAUACCUUCGAAGAAGUCAACCAAUGGAUGCUACUCUUAUCAAGAAGAGGUGUCAGGGAACUCAUUCUUGCUAAUUCAAAUCGUAGUUACGAACUUCCUUCUUGUGUGUUUUCUUGUCUAGAAUUGAGAAGUUUGAAAAUGGUAAACUGUUUCUUCAAUCCACCACGUGCGUUUGAAGGAUUUCUCAACCUUGAAGAACUUCUUCUGCACCAUUCUGAUUUUGGGGGUAGAUUGUGUGGAACUAAGAUCAACCUACCACGGCUUAAGAGGUUGGCCUUGGUUACAUGCACAAAUGUUUACAAUUUCAACAUUAACGCUACAAAACUACAGACUUUGAUUGUCCUUGAUUGUCCUGAUGCCAUGUUGCUUCGGUUAUUGGACAGUCCAUGCCUUUUUCAGGCUAUAAUUGCUUUACGGAAACCCAUACAAGAUUUUGUACGAGUUGAAAAAAUCACUUUGGCCACAUUAAUGUUGAAUAACUUGCCCAGUGUUAGACAAUUUUGUAUCGACAGUCAUUUUCUUAAGGUUAACUUUUUAUGCUCUUUCUUAAGAGGUCCUACAUUUCUCGUCUAUUGUAAUUCUCAUGUUUAUUGGGUGAUUUAAACACUAACUUUCAUCUGACAGUUUUUUAUCGCCGAAAAAAUUCCAAAGUUGCUUCCACAUGCAAUUUAUAGUUUAAAGUAUCUGCGGUUGUCCCAUUAUCAACUUGCUGAUUUGCAUCAACUUCACGGUGCUCUUUGUUUGCUUCGGAACUCACCAAAUCUUGAAACCUUGAGGUUAUUCAUGACAAUGGUAAAUUAAAGAAAUAAUUAUAAAACUACAACUUUUUGGGUUAUAUGAUACAAGAAUUAGAUGCUAAACUAUGGUUGCAUUUUGUGUAUUUUUAGGUUCCUCGAGUAAUUGAUGUGGGUCCAGCUUCAAAUCAUUUGGAAUCCCCAAAUUGUUUCGAUUGUACAUUGAACCAAUUGCAAACUGUAGAGAUAACAUGUUUAGAAGGAUCAAAACCGGAACUGCUUUUUAUAAAGCUUCUUCUUGCUCAUUCCCCUUCUCUCGACAAGUUGACCAUUACACCAAGUCAGAAAACUUUUUCUGAUGCUCAAAAAGAUUUGACAUUACUACAGUUGUAAUGCAGUUCCCUCGAGCCUCAUCAAAAGCAAAGAUGUUCUACUUGAAUCCCAAGCCAUAAUCAUGUACGUAUGAAUGUUCAACCACAUUGCAAUUUUUUGGGGGUGGCAUUACUGAUAGAAGUAUCAAUUAUGAUGGACUUUUUUGCAUUUACAUUAACAAAAUAUGUAUAAAUUGCCCUUUUUUGCAUUUAUUUUUAAAGCACAUGAUAAGUACAAUUUAAAAGUAGAUGAACAACAAUUCAACAUCGAUUUACGGAAAUGUAGACAGAUACCUACAACCGAAAUCAAUUCUUCAUGGAGUUUCUGUAUCCGCUACUGCACUAGGGUCUAGCGUUCAACAAUAUGAUCGUGCAGGUCAUAAUGGUAGUAUGAUUAAGACUAUGAUUAACUUUAGUAACAAAAACCUACCAUAAUUUAGAAAUACUAGUAAUGUCUUACAAUUGUUCACGAUGAGUUUUAUAUUUUGAAAACAAUUCAUAAAUAUAUUUUCUUAUGUGAUUAUAUAGAGUAUUGCGAUAUCAUGCAUUAGGUGAUUUAUAUUAUGUAUUAUUCUGAGUUGUUGAGGUAGGACCAGAGGGUCAACCCGAGUUGUGGGACUGGAGGGUCCCACUGAGACACAUUGUCCGGAGGGCCCUAUCCGAUCAUAUCCAUGAGAGGCUACUGAUUUAUGUGUGGUAUUUUGGGGAACUCACUAAGCCUUGUGCUUACAGUGUUAUGUGAUAUGUGUUUUAGGUACUUCCAAGGAUCGCGGGAAGGCGCCGACUUGGUAUCAAAGCCUUGGUUUGAGGGAUUCGGGUGUACCUUCGGGUAUGUCUGAACUCAAACUGGGAAAUUAGUUUUUCUAAAAUGAGAAAGAAUUUUAAGAGAAAACGAGUUGGAGCAGUGUGUACAAUCAGCCAAAGCCCGAACGAUGAUUUUCCAAACUAAUCUUACUUAUUUGUGUAAUGAGAUAUUUAUGAGACAUUAAUGAUGCAUGCUAGAGAAUAGGCUAAGUAAUUCAUGCUUAGGGGUAGAUAUGACUGAUUUGUGAUGCUUUAGCCUAGGAGUUCUUGCUAUCUGCUAUGUGUAUUGAGUAUGUGAUGAGUAAGAGUGCCUAGCAGGAAUCACUUACAGAGAAUUUCAGUCGAGUGAUACACUAGAAAUAUACCUAGAUGAGCAUAUGAGAUAUCUAUUGAGAGGGUAGUCUGUUACUUGUGAGAGUUAGAGUACUUGUGAAUUGGUAUCCUAGGAUGAGGACUUGGGGUGACCACAGGUUGGUGUGGAAGGUAGUAUUAGGCCCAUACUACUAAAAACACCGGAUCUGUAUGCAGCCCAAGUAAGAAUCAUUUGGGUACUAAGGAGCAUGUAGGAGUGGGAAUCGAGUGUGAGUAUGCUCGAGCGAGUCUUUGAUGAUUUUUUUGUUGUGUCUCAGAAGCAAUAUGGUGGUUACUCGCCAUAACCCCGGGGCAGUGGAACUAGUGGUAACAUUGAUGAGGAGAUCCGCAGGAUGAUUCAUGAGGAGGUGGCCGCAGCCAUUUGAGAGGCGAUACCGUAGAUGUUUGGGUCUAUUAUGACCACAAUGAUUGAGACAUUUGAUGAGUGUUAUGCUCCUGUUACUGAGGCUGCUGCUACCGCAACCAUUGUAGCCGUAGUCGUUGCCAGGCCACAGGGAGGUCACUCGUUGUUGUACCGAGAGUUCAACAACACGAAGCCACCAAAGUUUGGUGGGACUUAGGAUCCUAUUGCUACUUUGAGAUGGAUCUCUGACAUUGAGGGGUGUUUCUACGCGUGUUCAUGCCCAUAGCACCUGAUGGUUUGGUUUGUACUGAACCAGCUUCGCUUGGGAGCGAAGGACUGGUGGAAAUUCGCGACAACCAACUUUACUCCUGUAGAGCAUGCUGCAGCGACAUGGGAUAGGUUUACGCAGUUGUUCAGAGAUGAGUAUGUUCCCCCGAUGGAGAGGGAACAGUUAGCCUAGGAGUUUCUGUCUCUCAGACAGAAGGAAGAGUCAGUGGUAGAGAUUACGAGGAUGUUUCAUGAGAGGGCAUUAUUCUGCCCUUAGCAUGUGUCUACUGUGCAGGCACGCAUGAGCCGGUAUUUGAGCAUUCCGAGGAGGGACAUUCGGGAGUUCCUGGUGAAGUCGUCAUAUCGGACAUUUGCUGAGUUGCAAGAAAAUGCCAGGAGGAGGGAGAUUGAGUUGGAGACGCAGGGUCGAGAGGAUUUGGAAUCUCAGGGGAGAGAUAGGAGACCAGUGCAGACACAUCCGGUGGAUAAGCGGGAUAAGCCCGUUGAUUCGAGAGCUGGGGGCAAGAAGGGCCGCACUUGUAGCAAGUGUGGUGAAGAGACAUAGAUCUGGAAUGCCUCUUCUGGUCUUCUGAUGCGGCGAAGAUUUGAACAUCACAGAGCAAAGUCGUUAGAGUAGCCCUAGGGACUGUGCCCCGGGAGCGGACUCCGACGAUCAAGUUAGAUCAGUUGGUAGAUCUGAGAUGGUUCUCCUUAGCUAGAGAGAACCAUCUUGGUGCCGGUGGUGGUGUAUGGUGGCUGACAGUGGUGGCUCAGGAGUAUAGUGUGGCAGCUGAGCCAUGGGGAGAGAUCUGGUGGCGGCUGAGCCAAAGGCAAGAGUCCUCUUCUAUAGAGGAGACACUAUUCUAUUUAUAGUGGACAAUUAGGUCAACGGGAAUUAGGUCAGGCCAUGGGCUAGCCUAAUUCAGGCCCAACUAGCAAGGAGCUGGGCAAGGCCGCCCAGAGGUGCCGGGCAGGACUAGCGGGCGUGCCCCGGGCAAGGCCAAUUGGCGCGCACCAAGAAAGGUUGACGGGGGAGCGCCAGGCGAAGGAGCGUCAGGUCGGGCCGGUAGGAGAGUCCCUAGCAUGGCUGGCAAGGGAGCACUAGGCAAGGAUGACAAGGGAACGCCAGGCAAGGCUGGCAGGAGCGCUCUAGGCCAGGUUAGCGCUUUAGAGCAGUCUAGGCCAUGCUAAUGGACCAUAUAUCAUCAAGUCCCCCAGUCCGAUGUUAUUGGUACGCGACAAAUGACAUUGGACAAGACUCAGUCAUAUAAACUAUGCGUCAUCAAGUCUCCCUAGUCCGAUGUUAUUGGUAUGCGGCCCAUGACGUUCAAAUGGACUAAGUCAAAUAAACUGUGCGUCGUCAAGUCCCCCUACUCAAGUAUGAUUGGAUUGCUAACAAUCAGAUCGGACUAGACAAAGCACCAAUACGUUAAAUAAUAUAGAGAACGACCGAACCUCGCCCACAAGAGUCGUGGGGUUGUGCGAUGAGCCAAGUACUACUUGAGCUGACUUGAUACUCCUUUUUUGAAAGAAGUGCAAGCCGAUUGGUGUGAUGCAACGUAACUGUAGCUGCGAUCAUGCAGACCUAGGUUGCUAAAGAGUGUUACGCGACAUUGAUGUUGAUAAAAUGUCGGGUCAGGGUAGCUAAGAACCGUAACCUUGCCAUAUAGUGAUAAGACUAAAAUACUUUAAGAUCGAUUAGAUUCUUAACAAGAAAAACCAAGAAUGUAAAUUAAACAAGAACAUAAGAUGAAUCAAAAGAUUGUCUAAUUCAGAAGAACUCUAUGAAGAAUUGCUACUAUAGAGGUGUGCUAGGGUUACAAUAUGAUAGCUAGAAUGAUAAUCACCAAAAGUGUACAUAAUACAGUGCAUGCAUGCACUACUUAUACUAUAACCCUAAUAAAUAACUAACGGCUGGACAUGCCCAAUACCGUAUACAUAAUGGACCGAACUAGACAGCCUAAUGAUGCAACAUUUUAAGCCCAACAAUCUCCCCCUUUGCGUCAAUUGAGGUGAGAGAUCUAUUGAUGUGCUAGUGUGGUCUUCUUCACUAUCUUGAACAGCUUCGGGAUGAUAGCAAGUAGAGUAUGACGAAAAUUGAUGUACCACCGAAGCAUGUCAGAGAAUUUCUUGUUAUCUGCAUCCUCAUUAUGUUUGCACCUGUGUAUAAUAUCCAAAAUAUGUUCCAAACAGGAAGUGGAGAACAGGUGUUUAUCAGCCAGAGCGAACAAGCAUUUUUGGUUCUCUGCUCGAGUAAACAUCACCGUAUGAAACUUUGGGUCGAUCUUGCCCAUUCGCAUCUUGUUUACAUCGCUUGCCUUCCCGAUUGGCUUGACUGUUGGCUUUUUCCUUAAGGCAGAGGCUAUCUCGUGAUCCAGCUUGGUGACUUCGUGUAUGUAUGAGACCAACAUUCACUUUAUGUGAGCAAGAAUGGGUUCAUACUUUUGUUCAUCAGUUAUCAAGAAGUUCGUCAGCAGAAUCCAAUCAUGAGGAUUAAGAUUUGGUAGGUCAGCAAGAGAAAUCUCAUGAACUGAAUUUUCAAAACUGUGUGCGGCCCGAAACUUCACAUUGAUGAAGUUCCCUGCAGCGACGUGCUUCAACACCUUGACCGUAGUAAUCUUCUGUGCACUCCAAGUCAGGUAUUGAGGUUGCAAGAAAGCAAGAUAAUAAUCAAUUAGUUCUCUAUCAACCUUUGGGUCAGGAGAGGGAAUGGAAGCAAUUGGCUCAAAACAAUGAAAGACAAAUUCCCUUCGGGUGAUCGACAUGUCAAACUGUGAGUCUUUAGAAUUCUCCAGGUCAAAGGAAAUGACCGGUUCAAGCCAAUGGGUACUGGGAGAUUCUAUUGAUUCUUUUAUCAGCUUCUCCAACGUCCACAGAGGAAACAAAGUUUUUCUACUUUCCAAUGCGUUGUGGGUUUCUUUUGCUUUUCGUUCCCUUUCUUUUUCUUCUCUUGCGAUUCGAAGGUUUUUAUCAAGCUCUCGGUCGCGAUGCAUUCGUUUCAAUGCCUCUUCUUCACUUUCUUCUUCUUCUUCUUCGCUUUCUCCUAUAAUCUUCUUCCCUUUGUCUUUCACACUUGAACCCGAAGCUUCAUUACCCUUCAGUUCAUUGGUGACUUUCGGUUUGGGAGGAGUUUGAACUGUUUCGGUUGUUAGAGGUUGAGUAGGAGGAGGUUGAGCUGAUUUUUCUUGAGUAACUUCUCCCCUUGUUUUGGAGGAACAUCCGCCUCUAAAACACCCUCUAGACGAUGUAAGAUUUCAAGUGUUGGGUGGAGUUUCUCUGCUAAGUGUCGACGGAAACUGAUUGGUAAAACCAAAUCAUGAGGUUCCAGGAGAUUGGUGAGGAGGGCACUAAUAUCAUCUACACAUGUUUUCAUAACCGCCUUCUCAGACUUGAUUUCAUCAAUUUCUUUGUUCGCCUGGUUGAGCUUUAAGGUCUUGGUCUUGAGCUGAGUGGUGCGAAGGGUCAGGUCAUCCAUAACCUUGCUUUCCAAGGCUAAGUCAGCCUGGAGCUUGUCAAGUCGAGAGUUGAUGGAGGACUGGAGCUCUGUGUUGUCAGCUUGAAUGCUCUUUCGGAAAUUAUUAAAAUUUUCCUUUUCAGCCUAGAGCGAGGUGGUGAGCUUCUCAACAGUGGCAUCCACCAUGUUGGCAUUCUUUUCGGCAACGGCAUGAAGAGAAUCCAAUAAUACCUGAGCAUUUGAAAUUAGUUUUUCGACAUUUUCGGUCGCUUGUUUGCAUGACUUUGUGGACUCUUCAAUAGUUGUGGUUGCUUGUUGACAGGAAGAAGUGGAGGCAUCAAUGGCUUUGGUCGCCUUUGCAAUCGAGGAGUCAUGUUCCUUAACAAAUGUGGCCAUCAAGGCUUUGAUUGCAGUUUCGGUGUAGGCAGUAUUUGGAGAGGAGGACGAAGAGGCGAUCAUGUUAUCAAUAUUCUCAUUUAAGGCCUUGAGAUGCCUCUUCGUGAUAGGAGCAUCAUCGUCACUGUCAGAUUGAACGAAGAAGGGGCUGUAAUGGAAUGUGUAAAACUUAAUGUCGUCGCCACUAAGAAUGGUGUCAGACUCGGCAAAUUGAGUAGGUGAGAGUGGUUUGGAAGUAAUAGGGAUUUCAAAACCAGAAGUUUGUGCCCCCGCAUUAGGUGCAUUGACAUGAACUGGUGGUUCGUUUGUAGGAGUUGUGGUUGUUGUGGUGGUUUUGGUGAAAAGUGGUGGUGGUAAUGGUAUAGAAGUGGAUGGUUGAGAUGAAGUUGGAGGAGGGCAUGGAGCGAUUGAAAUAGGUAUGGUAUAGUGAGUAGCAGAAGGAGGUGGAGAAGGAAUAUUUUCAGUAGCAUGUACCUGAUGCUUUGGUGAUGGUGGAGGUGAAUCACCCUGGAGCGAGCCCUCAGAUUGAGAGCUUUCACUUUUGCUUGACUCGGGUUCUGGUUGUUUAUCUGAAGGCACAUAGUCAGAAUCGCUCGUUGAAGGAGCUUUCGGCUUUAAAGACAUCUUCUUAAGCUUUUGCCUCUUUGGAGUCGAAGGAGCUCCACCCUUUGACCUUCGCUUCUUUGGGGUGGCAGCUUGAGAUGAAGGGCCUUCUUGAACAGUUUUCUUCGUAUCUCCCUGCUUGCCUCCUUUCUUGGGUUUGUCUGCAUCAUCCAAAUAUUUCUGCAUCUCAAUAGUACUGACUCUUGGACCCGAAACAUGUAACUUCUUGUAUUCAGUAAUGAUUUUUCUUGCACCCGAAACACAUCUGUACAUCGAGUCAGGGAUGGAACCAAUGAACGGGAACAUGGAAAAAUCCGCCACGAUGAUCUUUGUGGUGUGAAAUGUAGCAAUUGUGGACUUCAAAAAAUCUUCCAUUACAGAAACAUUGAAUUUUUCCAUGGCCCUUUGUAACGCCUCGAUUAUCAGGUAUUAAUAUUAUGGCUUUAACUUUCAAGUUUCAAGGUCUACUCGACGAGUUGGAAGCCCUGACUCGUCGAGUAGUAGCGGGUUUGGGGCCACGUGUUUAAGUGACCAGCUCGUCGAGUCGGAAGAGUGACUCGACGAGUUGGAGCUGGAGGGUGAAACCCUAAUUUCCUAGGUUUUGCACCCUAUUUAAGGAAUCAUUAGCCUCCCUUGGUCCCUUACAGCCUCUAGAGAGUCCAACAAACCCUAUUUCAUGUGAGAGCUUCAUUUGAGUGUGUUUCGAGCUUUGGAAGGUGGAACUUGUGAAGGGAGCUUGAUGGUCAAGUAGCUAGCAGCAAGGAACACGUGUGGAUCUACAAAAUAUAUCUUAGUUAGCUUCAUUUGAGGUAUCAAUUCAUGAUCUUGGCCUCAUUUCUUUCUAUAUCUCUUUGGAUGAAGUUUAGGGCUUUUUGUCUUGGUUAUGAAGUUAUUGUUGAGUAUGAGUUGGAUCUGAAGUUGCAACUUCAGAUCUGAACCCUCCUUGGGAUGUAUUGUUGAAGAUUCAGGGGAGUUGCACUCGGUUGUGAGGAAUUUGAGGAUGGUGGAUGAGAUGCAAGGAUAGAUCCUUAGAUCUCAAGUUAUGAGUAGACUCGAGUUAUGUUCAUAGAGGUAUUCCAAUCUAGGGUAUUCCGUCCUGAGGAUGACCGGACCCUAUGAUUGCUUUGACCUGAUAUGUUUGGUAUUCUAGCCCGAGGCUGAUUGAGCCAGGCUUGUGUGUUCGUGUUUUAGUGGAUCAAUUUGGUAUGAUAUUUUUGGGACAAAUAGCAUGUCAGCACAAAAGGGGUUCGCUUCAGGAAGAGGGAAAGUUGGGUUUCCGAUACUUUGGAUCAUCAGGAUUUUGUCAAGUUGGCUAAGUGGCAUGAAGGAUAGACCUUAUGAAAAGGUUCGAUUGGGAUUCACAUCACCUUUCACGUUUCGCGGUUACGAAAGUGCGUCGAAUCCUGACGUCAGCGAAAUCCAAGGCUAAAAGUGAUUGCUACCUGACCAAUGGUAGCCUUAUAUCACAAACGACCUUAAGCAGUCCAAUGCUUCCCUGAUCUCAUAACUUUAUUUGCAUCCCUACAGUCUUAUCACUGGCUCCACCAGAUCUAAUCCAUCUGGCUAAUUCCAAAAUCCAAUCUAUGGAUUUCCAUAUCCUCACUGCUGCACCAAAACUGGUGGGUACUAUUGUUCUCCUCGUGAACUAACAUCACUACCCUACUACCUGUCAACCUAGUGAAAGCUAUGUCAACCCUCGCAGGCUUACAACACUCUAACACUAUCUGACAACUUGGCGAAUGUUAUGGCUACACCCACAGACUUACAACACUUCCAACACUAUCUGGACACCUUGUGAAUGCUACGGCUACACCCGCAAACUUACAACAUUUCUAUCACUAUCUGACAACCUCGUGAAUGCUAUGACUACACCCACAGACUUAAAACACUUCCUAAACCGGUUCGAGCACGCACUCGACCUAACAGUCAAUUGAACUUAAGUCCUAACUGAAGCUAUAACCUGGUUCCCGAAUCAUGCUAUCUGUUGCCAAGGAAAACACAAACCAAAAGUUGGAACGUUUUCUAUACUCCCAACUCACCCAAUCCUCAACCUAGACGGCCACUUAGCCGCCCUCCUUCCUAACGAGGAUGUGAAAUUCAUCCUAGUUUCACACCUAUUACGACUGCUAAGUACCUGACCGAUUCUACCCCAUUUAGCUUCAGCUAAGUCUUCAUGACACGUUAGAAUUGAAGGAUUCCCAGUCCUUCUUGCUUCCUAAUAAUCCACUGGUGGCAACCUGUGCUUACCAAUGCUAACGAUCAAUUACCAGUCAAACCUCAAGAUUGACCAUUCUUUGAAGACUUGAAGAGUACUCUUGAAAUCUGGUCCAGUCCGACACUUCAAUCCAUCUCCCAUGCUGCCUAAUGAAGGCCUUAAUCUUCACUCUGGCUGACGAAUCCUCAUUUCCACUUCCAAUCUUGCAGCACCACUGAACUCUAACCGAACACAACAUAUGCAAAAUACAAUUAUCUUGAACAUACAAUGGCCAACCACUUAUGCAUCCAACACCCGCAAUUGACACUACCAUCUUUAUGCUACUGGUCCUGUCCUACCAACGGUAGUGCCUUGAACUCCAAGGUUCUUCCAUAGAAAAAUGUUGACCAUACCCGAACAAUGAUAGAACCACUGAACUUUGACUUCACUGGAAAACUAUCGUUCUAAUACUGACCUAAUAUCCUCUGAAUAAUACUCCUAAACGGAUCUCGAAAAAGAUCCAGAAUGAUAACGGUACAUGCGGAACCCACUCCACAAGAUGCGUCCCUCUGUGGGUUUAUCAAGGACUUUUCAGCAUGCAGGAUGGCACAUAUGAUCCUUGAUAACCUAGAAAAUAGCAGAGAACCGACCCGAGAUCUACCUUAUCCAAACUUAGUCAAAAUUCCAAUGUGGUACAAUUUCCCAACAUCCACCUGAAAGUAGCAGAUAGUACACAUUCGCGGUCAUCUGGAGGAUUCCUGAUCACUUCAUCCUGAGAUAUCUCGACCAUCAGAGAUUUGCAAAAUAGCCAGAGCAGGCGUCUUUUCUGCUCCUUUACUUCCUCCUUGAUGACAUGAACUAACAAUAGGACCCUCUUUCCUGAAGGACUCUAAGGAUUCACAUGCUUUGGGCUUCAGAUGAGUCCCUAACUGCCCCGUAACAAAUAUGUACUAUGAACUGAGAGAACAUUGAACGCCCCGAACCAACAAAAAGGAAGCAAUCUUACACUAAACACUAGUAAUUCACAGUUUGCAAUUGGCAUAUGACAAUAUUUGAUGAUCUAAUACACCAGGAGAAAAGAAACAAAACAUGGAUACACUUACUCAUCCAACUAUAAUAUCCCAAACCACAACACAAUUCCCACAACAAUGUGCAGGUAAAACUGCAAGAAGGCUAGGUUACAUACCCACAACAUCGCCUGCUGGAGUUCUGACUUCUCCUGUCUGAAACUGCAGGGCCUAACUCUUUCUGCUAAAAUGACCAACCCCGAUACACUUGUAGCAGCCUAAACCCUUGGAAUGUCAAACUCCCUUGUGUACUUUCCCGUACGUGCUGCACUGAAUCCGGCCUGCUAGCGUUUCACCCGAUGAUCAGAAGUCUUGGGUAUCCUCCUGGGACCCUCUACUAUACACACCUAGCACGACCCUCUCUUCCCAACGGCUCCAAAUUGAUCUCACAUCUGCAAACUCUUGGAAGUCAUAUGCUUCAGGGUCUGAUACCCUGUCACGCUCACUUGUUCACUUGCCAAUGUCUGAGCUGCAACAGCUAGAACAUCGUCUAUCUCCAAACCGAGUCACAAACUCCUACCCGAAGCUUCUUAGAUUCUCCAAGACUCUCACCGAUUCGAGUAUUGAUCCUGUGCUUUCAGUAGUAUGGGCCCAAUACUACCUUCCACACUUUCCUCAUCAAUCCUCCUGAAUCCUCUAAGUCACUUCUUCAAACCGAUACACCCCAGUCUCACUAAUCCUCACUACUAACCCACUGAAACAUAUCCUAGGCUUUCCUAGGUUCCCAAACCCACCCAGUCCUCAUCUCCUGAAAGAUUCCUAGUAAUGUCAACUAGCUACCUUAUAAAUUUAGCCACAUGCAAUAGAGAUCAGAUAAUCCUUCGAGUAAAAGACUCAUCCCUAGAAUGGUUAGACUCAAAUGAGAGAUGUGCAAUAGGGUCAAAUUUAUCACUCUGAGAUUAUCCAGCCUGUGCCACAUGUGACUUAGCAUAUUCACAUAAUACCUAGCUCACAUUACUAAGAGUCCCACAAAGCACAAAGCAAACAACAUUCAGACAAUGGAAAGUCUAACUAACAUAUUCCGAUUAAAUCAUUCUAUCCUCUUAUCAGGAAUCUAUACUGGCAUGAAAUUCUAAGGCUCAUACACUAAGGCAUAACCUAAAUAGUCUAUCCUAUCACUGAGUUAUCAGUACUAUCAUGCAUCUCAUCAAGCACAUACAAUAGGCAUAUAAGGCAUCCUCCUAGAUCCUUAGCCCUAAUCUAGCAUUCAGUCCUCAUACACAUACAAUAGGCAUGUAAGGCAUCCUUCCUAGAUCCUUAGCCUUAACCUAGCAUACAGUUCUCAUAAUCAUAUCAUAUCAUAACAUAACAAUGAGUAUCUUGGGGAAAACUUACUUGAGUUCGGUUGAUUGCACGCAUCACACACCUUGUUCUUUUCAAAUUCUUUUCCCUUUUCAAAUCGUUUUCAAACUCUUUUUAUAAAAAGAUUUUACUUUUGAAAAUUUUCAUACCAAGCCCUUAGUUUGAGUUCAGACACACCCGAUAGUGUGCCCAAAUCCCUCAAACCAAGGCUCUGAUACCAACUUGUAACAUCCCAAAAUUCAAUGCCAAAAAUUUCGUUUUUAGUUUAACAAUUCAUAAACCAUAAAAAUAUCCACAAAAACAUCUCAUGUCAAACCAAAGUGUCAAUAAUCAAACGUGUUAUCAUAAAAUAAUAUCAGAGUGUAAUCCCAAAGAUCUGAUGUGCAGAAAACAUAGUGUGAUGCGCUACGAUCAAGCUGACUCCUUUCUCUUGAAAAUGAAUACCUGAAACCAAAACUUUAAACCGUAAGCACGAAGCUUAGUGAGUUCCCACAUCAUACCACAUACCAUAUAACAAACAUACUGCUAGGCAAUUCUGGGGUACCCGACCUACCCUGCUAGGCAAUUCUGGGGUGCCCGACCUACCCAUGUCAAGCAAUUCUGGGGUGCUUGACCUACCCUGCCAGACAAUUCUGGGGUGCCUGACCUAUCCAUGUAAAGCAAUUCUGGGGUGUUUGACUAACCCUCCGGUCUAUCUCAACCGGCUACGGGGACUAUUUCACCUUUACCACUACCACAUAACAACAUAACAAAAACAUACUGUCAGGCAUAUCUAGGGUGCCCGACCUACCCCUUGGUCCUUACCACCGUACUCGGGGACUAUUCCCCCUAGGCCCCUACUACCUACUAUUACAUAACAUCAUAUCAUGCUAGCACAUAAACAUAUCAGGUAAUAGCAAACCUAGAUGAUUAUCAGAAAGACAAUCAUCUAUCAAACAACUCUACUAGUGGGCCGACAUUGUGGCCUUAGACCCACUUCUACUGGAAGGUAACUCACCUCAAUCUGUUGAAGUCCCACAUAUGAAAAUUUGGCUGCUGGAUGACAGCUUCCCUAACUCUCAAUAUCUAAACAACACCCAAUUAAUAAUUGGGUUCCAACACAAAAAUCAUAAGUCCAUGCUUGGGGUAAAGAUUGCUUUACCCUUAUCUUAGCUUGAUUCAAGUCAAAGCCCAAUCCAAAGGCCCAAAAGUUAAACUAUGAAUCAAGGCCCAACAUAUGGCCCAAUUUUCCAAAUUGGGCCCAAACCUUUACAUGGUCUUAUUCUAAUGCCCAACCAUUUAGUCCAGUCCAAACAUUUGGCAUUUCUAAUGGCCCAAUAUCUUAUAAUCAUGAAGGACAAAUUAUGGCCCAACUAUGGCCCAAUUUUCCAAAUUGGGCCCAAACACACAUUUAGGCCUUUAACCUAAAGCCCACUCCUAUAUUCUUAGUCCAUAUGAUUGUUCUUGGAUGGCCGAUUAUUGGCCCAAACACCAAAUCCCAAUAGAAAGGCCCAACACAAAGCCCAAGUGAAAUUAAGGGUUUCACAUAAAAUGAUGAUUAGGGUUAAGUGUUUCUCACUUAACCCAUUAAGGACUUAAUCCAUUAAGUCCAUCAAUCUAUUGGGUCAAUCAUGUAGUGUGGCCGGGCUUAAUACACAAUCCCAAUCCAGUCAUCCAAAAUGCAAGUCCCGACAGUCCAAAACCCAUAUAUCUAGUAUUAGGGUUUUCUAAACCCUAAUUAGGGUUUCCAACCAAAUCAUAGCCCAAUAGGCCCAAUAGCUUGGUCUUUUGAUCAAUUUGGGUUUAUUAGGCCCAUCAGAGUUUCACUAGGCCCGUUAGGGUUUUGCUAGUCGGGCACCACCCACUACCACCUCGGGUAGUGGUGGUCAACGACGGCUCACGGCGGCGGCCACCACCUCACGGUGGUGGUUAGGGUUUCUAGUCCAUAUUUGUCCAAGUAUCCAAUAAGCAACUACAUGCAAGAAAAAGCACAUUGCCACCCAACGCGACGGUUGGUGGCGGCAGGAGGCGGCAGCCUCCACCUCACGGUGGUCGUUUUGAGUUUUCUUAUUAUUAUUCUGUUACAGAUUACAAUGUACAAAGCAAAAUCCCGAUAACACACACAUACUAAGCUAAACACACACACACACACACAACCACCCUUGUGGUGGCCGGCNGGCGGGGGUAGAGAGUGGCAGCCACCACCUUACGGUGGUGGUAGUGGCCUUUUUCUUGAUUUUCCGGCCAAAAAAACCACACACAACACACACUACAACAGGAAACCCACCCACACACUUCUUUUGCCCGGAAAAGGAACACAUCUACCCUUCAGGUGGCGUUUAGUGACAGAAGAACCACAGAGAGGCGGCAGUGGUGGUGAUUUUGCGAUGAUAGACACCACCUCACUAUGGUGGCGAAGGCUCCUCUUGAUCUUCUACCCAUCAACAAGUCGACAAACGCAUAGAUGGGACACACACGAACCACCGACGACAUCGUCUUUAACGGAAACGGGCGAUGGUGGAGAGAAUAUGCGAUUGUGGUGGCGAUCGCCUCACCAAGGCUGUGGCUGGAGGGUAAUGGUGGUUCACGUCUUCUGUGGAGUGGCACAACGAUGGCUCGGUGGUCGGAGAAGCAAGGGGGGUAGGGUGGCGGCCGGUGAGGGAGACAUAAGGGGGAGGUGACAACUGUUUCAUCCUCCUAGGGUUAGGGUUUCGGGAGGAUUAUAUACCCGCCUCCAUUUUAAAUGUUUUGCCAUAAUGAGAAUAAUAGUCCCUCACUUCCCUUUUUCUUUCAAUCUUAGCCCAUAAUUUACCAUUUAAACCCCACCUUCUAAAAUUCCUUACAAUCAGAUCCGUAAUUUACCAAGCAGCUCGUCCUUCUACAAAUUGUUUUCAAUUGAAGUCCUUAUGUUACCAUUCAACCCCUAAGCCUCCAAAAUCUCUUCAAAUUAAGUCCCAAUCACUACAAGAAAAAGAGGCUUCUGUGACUAAAAUGUUAGUGAUUGAUUAAUCAGUCUUGGAUACCAUGUAUCUAAGACUGAUGAAUUAGUCUCAAAUACUAUCUAGGACUGAUUUUAUUAUGUGAAUCAUUAGAGACUGACAAAACUUAUUCGAGACUAAAAUCCAGUCCCUAAUAUGUUUGCCUUGAUCUACGUUUGGUUUGAAACGCAUUGGGGACUGAAUUUCAGUUUCGAAUAGUCUAAUGCCAACUUCGAUUUUGGAGAGAAAGGUAUAUGGGACUGAAUUUCAGUCCUUGGUAGACUUUUGUCGGUUUUGAUUGUGUAUAGAACUUAUUAGGGACUGAAUUUCAGUCAUUGAUACUACUGCACCAAUUUGUCCUCUGGAUGGGAAACUUUCCUAAGACUGAAUUUCAGUCCAUGAUAGAUAUCACUAUUUUAUAUUUUUAAUGAAUACUUUUAACUAACCUAAUGUAGUGGUGGAUGUAUACGUAGGUAGGGUGGGUGUGGGUAAAAGUGCAUGGAUACUGGAAUUUGGGAUAUGGUAAGGUAGGGUGGGUGGUACGAAAUCAAAUUCCGUAGCUAAUUUACUAUGAAAUUUGCUACAAAAUGAAAUUUGGAAUAAAUACGGAAAUGACUACAAAAUUAAAUUUCGUAGCUAUCCAGCUACAGACUUAGCUACAAAGUUAAAUUUCAUAUUUAUCCAAAAUUGGCUACACAAUCAAAAUAUGUAGCUAUCUAACUUCGAAAUUGGCUAUAAAAUCAAAUUUCAUAGCUAUGUUGUUAUGGAACUGGCAACAAAUUCAAAUUUCAUAGUUAUUCAACCAUAGAGUUGGUAUGGAUUAAUUUUUUGUAACAAAAUAAAAUAUUAUAAAGUUAAUAAAUAACAUUAAUUUUCAAAAUACUAAUAAAAAAAUAUAAAAAUAACAAUAGUAUUUAUAAAUUAAAAAAUUUGAAUUUAUUUGAUUUAUUCUAAAAAAAUCAGGAUUCCCUCUUCCCUCCAAUUUAUAAAAAAUUCAAUUUUUUUAAAAUAGGUUCCCCCUUCUCCGAAUCUUAUUCCCUCCCAUCCCUAAUUUUUAACGAUCUCCAUUAUCAAAAUUUUGUAGACAUAACUCCAAAGUCUUAUCCGCUUUGAAUCCCUCUAAUUCGUCGCACUCCACCCACGUCUCAUUUCUCCCUCUUAUGAUGCCCUCAUGGUCUGCAACAACAUCCACCCCUGCACACUACUUCUUUAUCGCUGAAAUAACCCCACCAUAUCUCCGACAACCAUGCACCACCACCUAUUUGGUUGAUCGAUUCAGGUUCUCCCAUUUUCUAGAUCUGAGGCACUCUGCUUUUUCGCUUUCCCUUUUGUUGCCAAGAUUUUAAACAUUGAUCUUCAUGUUAAACUUGAAUUCUAAUACCUAACUUUCGUAUUUCCAAAGAAAGAUGUUAAGAUAGUCACCUAUCGUGGUUAAUUUUUGCUCUUAUUUUGUGUUUGGAUGUAUGAUAACUUUCAAUUUAAUUGAGAUAGCAACCCAUGAAAAACUUGUUGUUGAAACAGAACAAAAAAUAGUUAAAAUAUUCUUAUAUGAUAUCGUAAAAUUUUCCAUCUUAUAUCUCAGAAUAUUGAAAAUGGAAUUUUAGACACCGCUACUUCUCUCUCUCUCUCUCUCUCUCUCUCUCUCUCUCUCUCUCUCUCUCUCUCUCUCUCUCUCUCUCUCUCUCAGCUCAAAAGUGGUAAAACACCCCUGUUACUCCGUCUCCCUAUAUUUUUCUCUCUGUAUGUGUGUGUAUGUGUACAUUUUGGUUCAUUGACAACCAUAAUUAACAACCUAAGAACCAAUUUCCCUGCAGGUUCUAAGGUUGUCUUCAUUGACGCCCAUAACAUGUUCGAUGAAAUGUCUCAUAUAGCUUGUGGUCCAUCCCAGCGAUGAAUUUCCACAUGAUUGGGAACAAGUUACCGAAACAUAUAUAAUCCCAAAAUGUUUCAUUCAUUCAUGCACAGAUACAGAAACAUGUGUAAGACAAUUUUUUUUAAUAAUAAUAUAUAAACCAACAUUUCAGCCAUGAAUUUGUUUACAUCACUUUUUCCUAUUCCAUAACCUAUUACAAAGAUCAUUGUCAAAAAAACUUCUUAAAAAAACGAUGACCAUCACCAGCCCAGGCAACACCACCACCAACUCUAUGCCCCAGCAGCACAAACAAUUACCAGCACCAGCAACAAGCAUCACCAGACACAAAAUCUAUUACUAAUAUCGACAUUAAAAAACUUAAAUAACGCACCAAAACACAAACCGAAGACAUAAAUGUUUUGACCUAUACAACUUUUUUUAGUUAAACAGCAUGUACAUGAACACACCCACAGUAACAACACCAACAAUUCCAAGAAAAUACUUCACUUUAUUACGUUUGUUGUGCUCCAAGACCAUCUUCACAUACAAGCCUUGCAGAGAAACGAAAUGAUUCUUAAGAUCAACAACGGUAUUAGAGAUAUCCAGCUGACCAGCGCGAACGUCAUCGACCUCACGGUUCAUGGCAUCCAAGUCUCGAUUAACACCCUGUUGGAGCUCACACAACUGGCCUUGGAAGUCCUCCCAUAUGAAAGACAACUCCAACUGGGUUUGUGGUAGAUUUGUGGCCAUGUCUUCGUUGGUUACACCAUUGAAAUGAUUCUCCUCCAUGUGAUGACGGUAGAUUUGGAGACCAACUGUGUUCUGCAGGUUCGAGCGAAGGCAUUUUCCAAUUUUGGAGUGAAGUUAAAGACAAGAUUAGGGUAAUGAAGUUUGCAGAUGAGCCAUUUUAGGGCAACAAAGUCUUCAAUUUAUUUGGAGGCGCUUGAAUAGUCGAAGCAUGCUCCCUACGAUUCACAUUCAAUACGACGUCGUUUCGGUUGUUAGGACGCUUUGAAUUCUUGCCAUAUCGUCGCUUACAUGUUAGGCUACGCUUAUGUGGCAAUGUAAACCGACUACAAUAUGUGAAAGGGCUUAUAUUUGUAGGUAACAGAUAAUUCAUUCCCUUAUAAAGCCACAAAAUAAGUUAGUUGGCUAAAUAGGUAAACCCUAGAAACAUAAUAAGGCAUAUAUGUCAUUUUCCCUAGUAGUAAAUAGUAAACAAAAAAUAAAAACCGAUUCUAAGGAAUAUCUUGGAGUGGGAAAAAAUAAAAGUGAGGACGUAGAAAAUGACACUAGGCAGAUUGAGGGUUUAAAAUAAUGNUAUAUAUAUAUAGUUUUUUCUUUCCCCCACUAUAAAUACCACCCAACCCCAACAUUAUUCUUAACCCAUUUCUUCAUACUCUUUCCGAAAAACACUAACACACAAUGUCAUCAUCUUCAUCAUCCGAUUUGACGACGUUUACAUGUUUAUAUUCAGCCCGACAAAGUAUUGGCAGAAUGAUUUGUUUGAAGAAUCAGAUGAUGAUUCAGAUAUUUUCGUCGAGAGUGAGGAUUCCAAUGACGAGAAUGACGUAGAUUAGAACGAUGAUGACGAUGAGGUCGAUGCCGAAGACGUUGAUUCCGAGUGACGAAUUUUGGCUUUUUUAAAAUUUGGAUAUUAAUUAUGUUUUCUAAGUUGUGGUUUUUUAAUAUUUGUUUUUUACUAGUUGUUUUUUUUUUCUUUUUUUUAAUUUUUAAUAUUGCUUAUUUUAAUGUGUCUUUUAAUAUUAUUUUUAAUUAAUGAAUUGGUUUUUAUUUUUAUUUAAAUUUUAUGUUUAUUAUUCAUUUAAAAAAAUUAUAAAACAUCAAAGUUAAUUAAUUUUAUUAAAAAAGAAAAAAAAAAGUAAAAGAAGUUUCCGCACACUCUCUUUUGAUGAGGGAAAGGCCUUUUGAUUAGGGUGUUCAAAACCGGAUAUCCAAAAUUUCGGAUAUCCGAAAAUUUCGGAUAGUACUUAUUUACAUCCGAAUCUGUAUCCGAAAUUUCAGAUAUCCGAAAUCCAGAUAUCCGAAAUUUCGGAUACGGAUUUGGAUAUUAAAUCGGAUAUCCGAAAAUGUUGACCCUUCAAAAAUAUGUUGGAUUACAAAAUGAAACAUGUUUCAGUUACUUUGUAGCUAUAAAUCAAAUAUUUUUCACUUCAUUUAGUUCAUUUAAGGUUCGUAAAUAAAAAAAGAAUUUCUCUUGAUCAUACUAAUUAACACAGGAAGUGAAAUAUAUUAAUUUAUUGCUUAUGAUAUCUAUUUACGUUAGCACAAAACGGUUAAACAAAUCAAACAAAAAAUAUAUAAUCAAUAUGUUUUACACAUUUAAAGAUAGACAGAGUAACAUUACUUCAUUGCAUUAGAUACUUUUAAAGGUUAAAAGGUUGGGACUAUUUAAUUACAUUUUUGAAUAUUCAUAUGUGUUUAUCAUUAAAAUCUAAUGUACUCAACUUGGCAUAAACAUGACAUGGAAUUAUAGAUACAUUUCACUGGAAAGAACAUAAAAUAAACUUAGCACCCAAAAAUUAAAAAAAAAAAAACGUAAUUAGCAGUGUUACAUGUCGGAUUAAAGUUAAUAAACAAAUACACAAAUGCCCAACUCUUCCCGAAUAUUCCUUUUUGAGAUAAAAAAAAUAAUUGUAAAAUUAAAUAUUUCGGAUAUCGGUUAUCAAAAAUUCAGAAUAUGACUAUCCGUAUCCGAAUCUGAAAUACUGGAUAUCCGUAACUACGGAUAUCCGUAGCUACGGAUAUCCGAAAUUUCGGAUAUCGGUAUUUUUGAAUACCCUACUUUUGAUGAGGGAAAGGAAAGCCCGAGAAAAGGUGACGCGGAAAAAAUGAGGGGACAUGCAACCUCUGGUCUUAAAUAUGAUACCCAAGCCAAACCAGAAAUGUAAACCCUAACACCCCGCUCCCGAGUUCAACUUAAAGAGAGAAAAGAAAGGAAAUGGGAGGAAAUGAGAGGAAAGCAAGAGAGAAUGGUGCUCCCGAGUUUCAUUAAAGGAAGGAAGUGGAAGGAAAUGGAAGGAAAACUUUCCCUCCUACCUUUCCUCCCGAUUUGGGAGGAUUUGAAAAGAAAGAACAAAAUGUUUAACUUUCUUUCAAUUUCUCUCAAACUCGGGAGCACAAAUGACAUUUCUUUUUCCUUUCUUUUCUCUUCUUUUCUCUCCUUACUUUCUUUUCUCUUCUCUUAUUUUCUUUGCUAUAACUCGGGAGCGGGGUGUAAGACGCCAAUACUUCGACAUUUUCUUCAUUGGUAUGAUGGGUAAGUUUCUACUUCAUAAACUUACAUGUUUUUAAUUCAUCGAAAGUCCUGUGCGAAAGAGAUUUCGUUUAGGAUUUCUCUUGCUCAUUCCAUUAGGAAAUGUAAACCCUGUUUUGGGUAGUCGUUGUCAAUCAUCACGUAUCCACUGGAAAACAGAAAUCAGGAAACCGAUUUUCCGAAUAUUUAUUACAAUAGUUUGAAUAUGAAGGCUAUAAUCUAGUUUUUGCAAGUAUGAAGGGUAUACUAUGUGGUGAUGUAAGUUGUUUUGAGUUGGGUUUUGCCAGGGGAAGCCAUUGAUGCAACUAGAGAAAUUGUAUCCCUGUCAAAUGCAAUAAACCGAUAGAGUGGUUAACCCAUGUAUGGUUUCGUGCCGUGAGUCACACUUUUUCACACACAGGUGUCCGAGGUCAGCUUGUUUGGCAUAUUCCAUUACUAUAUUCCUUUUGGAUAGGCAAAUAGCUGAUAUUGCUCUAGGUUGGACACUCUUACAACCAUUAAAUCAUAAGAAUUGCAAACAAUACAGCUUCUAUAUCAUGAAUUAUGUUACCACACCUAAAAAGAAAAUUUAAGAUGAGUAUUAGAAAUGUGAAGUUGUUGAAUUUUUUGUUGCCUUCCAUUUCUUUGAAAUAACAUAAUCCCAAUUUUUUCUUUUCUGAAUCUAAUGACAGAGAAUUAUAGAGCUGGGAUUGUAACUUGUGCUAAAGAAGAUAGAAUCAGUAACUUGCCUGAACACUUGAUAGACUCAAUCUUAGAGCGGGUCCCGCUUGAAGAGGCUGUAAGGACAAGCAUUUUAUCAAAAAAUUGGAGGUACAGAUGGACCACAAUGAAAGAACUGGUUUUUGAUCAGCAAUUCUCCAAAAAAUUUGCAAAAAAUGGAGCUUUUGGUCAUAAUGGGUUUAUAAGGAUUGUAAACAAAGUCUUGUUCUUUCACAAGGGUCCUAUCUUGAAAUUUCAUGUCCAUGUACCAAAUAUGUUUCUUGAUAACUUUGAAGAAGUUGAUCAAUGGGUGCUAUUCUUAUCAAGAAACGGUGUCAAUGAACUCCUCCUUAACAAUUCGAAUCGCCGAUCUGAACUUCCUUCUUAUUUGUUUUGUUGUCUAGAAUUGACAAAGUUAGAACUACACAAGUGUUGCUUUAAGCCACCACUUGAGUUUGAAGGAUUUCUCAAUCUUGAAAAACUUCGUCUGGAGGAUAUUGAUUUUGGGGCUCGCUUGUGUGGAACUAAGUUCAACCUACCACAACUUAAGAAGUUGUCCCUGCUUAAAUGCACGAAUGUCUACAAUUUCAACAUUAAGGCUACAAGACUGCAGGAAUUGAUUGUCUAUGCUUGUCAUGAUGCCAUGUUGCUCCGGUUAUUGGAUAGUCCGUGCCUUCUUUUGGUUUCGAUUGCAUUUGAGAAACCCAUAGAAGAUUUUGUACGUGUUGAAGAAAUGAAUUUGGCCACAAUGUUGAGUAACUUGUCCAAAGUUGAAUACUUUUAUAUCAACAGUUAUUUUCUUAAGGUACGAUAUAAAGGAACACCUUUUAUGCUUAACCUUUGCUCUUCCUUAACUGGAGUUUAUUGAGUAAGUUAAUGAGAAAUGGCACAAGAGGCACCCGGGGUACCAGGUUUGCCAUGUUGGGUUAGAAAAUGUGAUCUCAAAAUCGUCAAAAAAUCGAAAAACAAAAACGAAAAUGCAGUGUCGAAAUCGAAAAACGUGAAAACAUAGUGUCUUUUGUGCCAUUGAAUAAAAUUGGAAAAUGUGAUGUUCGAUUUAAAACAAAAAACAAUGCACUUUCAAAAUAAAAAAAAAAAAAAAAAAAGAAAAAGAAAGUGAAAACAUAGUUUCUUUUGUGCUAUUUUCCCUAAGUUAAAAUCUUACUUUCAUCUCACAGUUUUUGAUUGCAGAAAAGAUUCCAAAAUUGCUUCCAGGUGCGAUUAGUAGUUUAAAGCAUCUGUGGUUGCUGGAUAUUCAACUUGGUGAUUUGAAUCAACUUCAUGCUGUUCUUUGUUUUCUUCGAAACUCACCUAAUCUUGAAAAACUGUUUGUUAGGCACUUUGAUAUGGUAAAGUGAAAAGUGUUAAAAGUAUGUAUAAUACAAGAGUUGGGAGCUAAACUGUGGUUGCAUUUUUAUGUUGUUUCAGGAUCCCCGAGUAGAUGUGGGACCAGCUUCUGAUCAUUUAGAAUCCCCAAACUGCUUGGACUCUACAUUGGAUCAGUUGAAAAUUGUUGAGAUGACAUGUUUAAAAGGAUCAAAACCGGAACUACUUUUUAUAAAGCUUCUUCUUGCUCAUUCCCCUUCUCUCCAGAAGUUUACCAUUAAACCAAGUAGAGCUUCUGAUGUUCAAAAAAGAUAUGACAUUGCUAAAGAGGUUAUGCAGUUCCCUCGAGCAUCAACAAAAGCAAAAAUGUUUUUCUUUGAUCCGGAACCAUAAUCAUGUAAGAAUCUUCUCUCCAUUAAAGUUUAAACACCCUCUUAUUUAUCCUAUUGCUUUCCUACCCUUAUUUUCACAAAGAUCCUUGGUCCUUGGUUUUUCAUGUUUUUACUUUUUAAGUCCUUGAAAUAAAACAAACACCUAUUACAAUCCAACAAAGUUUGUUGCUUAUAUUUGUUUAAACAUAAGAUUACAUAAAAAAAGGACCACCAUAUUGAAAGUUAUAGUAAGUAACAAGAGCCCCUUGGACUAUAGAUUUCAACCAUUAGGCAACCAGGAAUUUGUAACGCCCUGGUAUCUUAUGAUUUAAUUCAAAAGAUUCGUCUAAUUGUUACUUGAUUUUUUAUUUCUUGUGGUGAGUUUUAAUAUACUUGUGAAUAGUUGUGUUCAUGAAGAAGAAACUGAUGAUCUGGGAUUUCUGUUAUGCGGAUCUGCAGUGACCAUAGCAAACAGUCGCUAUGUUGAAGAACAAAGGGAAGCUGAAGCUGUGUUUGUGUGUUUGUGUCAAAUUACAUCUGUUGAAACAGAAAUAGUAAAGUUUAGUUCUGUUUAUUUAGAUUAGAAGCUACAGUAGUGUGUAUAAAAAUACUGGAAAGUCGUUAUUUUGACAAGUUUUGUUAAUCCUUAUGUUAAGUAGCAUAUGCUCUACGGACUUUGUAUGGAAGUAAUUUGUAUUUCACUCAAUAUAGAUUGUAUUAGGUAUUCCACAAUUCCUAUUAAUUAAUACUGAAGACAAUUAUCAUUAUGGUUAAACUCAAAGUUGAAAGAUUCUUGUCAAACACUGAUCACCAUUCUUUGUUGUUAUUAAACACGAACAUGUUUAUUGGAUUUGCCUUCUAGUGUCUCCGUUCUCGUCCUAAUCUCCACCUUCAAUGAGCAUUGUAAUAGUUUAGAUGAUUUUCAAAAUAUAAUGUUUUAAUAUGGAAAAAAAUACAAUGUUAUAAUUGUUUGAGUUUUCAAGGUAUAUCGCCUUAUAUGAAUAUUUACCACCUAGAGCUGGCAAUGGGUCGACAUGUUCAACCCAUUUAUUAAUUGGGUUGAAGAUAUCAACCCAACCCAACAUUUUUAUUUAAAUGGGUAGAUAUUUGUAACACCCAUAAAAAUCAAGCCAAUUUAAAACUUUUUUAAACAUCCAAAAGCCAUUAGUUAUUACAACAUGUUUUCAAAAUAGUUUAAUAUGUGAGUAUCCCAGAAACCAUAAGUCCAAAACAUGAGGAUGUGUACGGUCACAUUUUCGCCUUGCCAAGUCAUCUGAAACACCUGAAACGAUAAACUGAAACUGUAAGCACAAAACUUAAUGAGUUACCCCCAAAAUACCGAUACACAUACAAUCCAAUAACACAUGUACAACUAACAGCACGUGUCACACCCCCAAACCAAGGAUGGCGGAAAUGUCCGGGGGUGGAGGACUUAAUGUAUAGUAUCAUAACCACAAUUGCAAUAGUAAUUUAAGCAAAUACAACCAACAUAUAUAUAAUUGAAAGAGUUACAUCAUUGUGUGAGUUACAUGUUUUCAAAUCAAUUACAAUAUGUUAACAAAACAUGAAAUGUUGAUGUCUUAACGUCCCAUCCUCAAAAUGCACUUUGAUACCUGUUUAGUGAUUUCCUGAGAAUACAAGUUGUUUGAAAAAGUGUCAACACAAAGGUUGGUGAGUUCAUAAGCUUUUGUUUUCAACUUGAUAAAAGUCUUUCUUUUGUAAAUGUCAUGUUUGUUUCAGAAAAAUCCGAUAUUUUCCUUAAAAUGUGUAAUGUAGUCUUAUAUCCGAAAACCGAAAUGUAUAAGUAACCUUUCUUACUUAUAGAAUAUGAUGUAAGUAUUAAAUCAACAUAAACGCAUUUGGAUUCAAUGAAAUUCCCGUGAAUUCUUAUGUAUGUUAAUACUUUCUGUGAGUUCAUUAUAACCAUGCUAUGACCUAGUUGGUCUGAAACGACGUUCUUCAGGCGUCAAAAAUGUUUAUGACAUUUGUCACCCCAGACCUGCCGUUCUAACUGUUGCAUGCAGUUAAUGUGUCGGUUUGUCAAACCCAAUAUAGAUCUAUAUACAACUAUCACGCUCUCCCUCCAGGAGACUCUGGUUACAAUGCAGGACUUAUUGGUAAAUGUGAAGCGAAUGUCUCACAAAGUCAUUAACGAACUUACGUGUAAUGUGAUGAAAAUCCCUUUUUGUAUAAAUGUACCCUUUUUGUAUGAGUGUUGUGUAAUGUAUCAUAAACUAUACCUAUUAUAGUUUAUAAAAACAAGGGUAGUAGUGGUAAUGUACGUAAACUAUAUUUAACAUAGUUUAUUCGAGUGUUUGUGUGAUAUGGAUGUACUUUGAUUAUACAAUUUGUUAUCUCUUAUAUAUGUAUCAAAAUCCAUUUAUUAACUGAUUUAUGUCUAUAUAUCAAGACAAAGUGUCAUUUAUUUGCAAUAACAUAUAUUCACAUAAAGAUGUACACCUUGCUCGACAUGUUACAAGGUGAAAUGAAAUUGUUAGUAUUUUUCUAUUGUUAACAGAUUCCAUUAUUGUUUUAGCAAAUUUAUAGAAAAUUCAUAACAGAUCCAAAUCAGAAUCCGUAAAGUCUGGGAGUUUGUAAAAUGAGUCUAUUUUGUUCAUAAAAUUUUCAAUGAUUUUUAGUGAACUCCAACUUAGGUGAAAACGUCCAUAAACACAGACUGGUCCAGAUUGGUUCUUGAAGUGAUAGACAGUUUUGUAAAAAUCACCGUAAAUCGUAGAAAAAUCUUAUGGAGAUGUGCAAGUAGCCAUUUUAAAGCUAAGAACUUGAACUACUUGCACCUCGUACAUUUUUGAAAACUAAAAUGUUUUAUUUGACCAAAACAGUCCGUGAAUGGAGUCCAACUUUUCUAAUGAAAGCUGUUAGAAACAUUUAGUUGUGUUCUUGGUGUUUUAACUUGUAUUNNNNNNNNNNNNNNNNNNNNNNNNNNNNNNNNNNNNNNNNNNNNNNNNNNNNNNNNNNNNNNNNNNNNNNNNNNNNNUAUUCCCCCCCCCCCCCCUUAAAACUUAAGUAAAUAUGAAAAUGUAGGGGUAUGAACUCACCUUGAGUGAUUUAAGUGGAUGGAUGAUGGAGAAAUUUAGUAUUCCACUCAAGAACACUAAGAAGAUGCCUUGAAGGUUUGAAGAUCUAACACUAAUGUGAUGGAAUUUGUGUAUGAAAUCUAUGAUUUGGAGUAAGAGGAAGUGAAAUAAUUAUGUGGAGGAUGAAUAUACUUACCAAAAAUGGGAGAAAACUUAGAAGAAGGCCCUUGAAUCUCGAAAUCUUGGUGAGAGGAUUGAGAGAGAAAAGUGUUUAAUUUUUGGUGAAAUGAAAGCAAGUGAGUGAGAAUGAGGAGGGAGGAUGAAUGUCCAGCUCUAAAAACGUGGGAAUAACUUGUGAGAGAGAUAAAAAGGACAAGGAAGUGACAAGGUAUGGUGGGGAGGAGUGUGGGUUAGUCAUGGAGUGGGUAUGGGGGGUGCUUGUGUCAUAAUACAAAAAAAAGUCAACACUCAACCUUUGUACUUCACCCACUCUUCUUGGAUAAGGUUUUAUCCCCAAAAACGUGAUUAAUCAUUAAUUAGGGGGCCUUAUAUGUUAAAAUAAAGUUUUGGGUGAAAAUCCCGCGUUAAAACGAUGAAAACGAAGCUAAAAUGAAGUCGUAGUCGAAAACCGGGAAAAACUUAGUUUUUCAGCGAGGCCUCUCGGUCCUGGCCGAGGUUCGGUCCUCCUGAGGCUAGGCGCGAAAGCGAAAUGAAGCGAAAGCAGCAAGAAGCGAAGUGCAGGUUCGGUCCGAAAGGGAAGAUGGAGCGAAGGCGAAAUGGAGCGAAAGCAGCCUGAAGCGAAGCGGAGGUUCGGUCCCAAGAGGACCUUCGGGUUCGGUCUUGUGCGAGGUUCGGGCCCGAGAGGACUCUCGGUUCAGCAGCUUGGUGUUCGGUCCUCUUGGUUUCAGUUCAGCAGCUUUGGUUCGGUCCUCUUGGUUUCGGUCCCUAAGAGGACCUUCGGCCCUAAGAGGCUUCGACCAUAUAUAGUGGGUUUCGGGUCUUUUAGGGUAUUUUACCUGUUCUAACUCCGUUUUAAGCGAUUUUUGACCCGGUUAAGGGUCAGAAUGACCCGAAUGACUUCAAAAAGUUACGGAAACCAUUGAGAGAGAUUUGGGAGAGAUUUCAAAAUAGAAAGAGAUAGAGUGAAAACGAUUGAGAGAGGUUUCAUUUGUGGCCUUUUUGAGUUUCCGGCUUUGCAAUGCAAGGUCCGUAAACCCCAUUAAACGAUGUUUUAGUGUCUUACACACUCCCGAUGAGUGUGCAUUAGUGUUUUAUCGCUUUGGUUCAUUGUUUAAUGCAUUUAAGGCUUAGGAAAAAUUCAAUCACACGGAUUUUUCAAAUGAUGUUUUCUCAUUAAAAUAGCAGAUUGUUUAGUAAAUACACAACGUAAACCCUAAUACGUAAGGGCUAUUUGAGUCGUCCGGUUUGACUUGUUGACUAUGUUUGACUUUGACUUGACCCGAAAUUGACUAUUGUCACAGCACGUAACGGGUCCAUAACUUUAGAGACUGGAAUACCCCUGGGCCCACAGUGUGAGUCUAGAUUGCCUACCAGGCCCAAAGCUCACAUCUAGAUGUCGAGAUGUAACAGAUAAAUUCACAUACCAAUAAUCAAUAAUAUCACAGGUAGUCCUACAGGCCUACCAAACUAGCAUAUCCAACUAGCAUGCAUAUCUAACAAAUACUUAUCAUAACAACUACGAGGAUAUCAAUUGAAUCGGCCGGCCUUGGUGCCUUAGACCCCUUAGUAUAGUGAGGAUAACUCACCUGGCACUGCUGAAGUCCCACAGAUAAAACUCCAGCUGCUGGUUGAUAGAUUCCCGAACUGUCAUCAUCAAACAAUACCCAAUUAAUAAUUGGGUUCCAAGCCCAAAGUCCAACUCACACUCCAAAGGCCCAAAAGUCAAGCAAUGGGCCAAAGCCCAACAUAUGGUCCAAUUUUCUAAAUUGGCCCAGACCUCUACAUGGUCUUUCCUUAAGGCCCAUUUGUUUAUUCUAGUCCAAACUCUUGGUAUUCCCAUGGCCCAAUAUCACGUAAACAGAAAGGCCUAAUUAUGGCCCGCCAAUGGCCCAAUUUUGAAUUUUCCAAAUUGGGCCCAAGACUCUCACAUGGAUUUAUCUUAAAACCCAUAUAAUUAUUUAGACCAUUUACUUAGUCUUGGAAAGCCCAUUAAUAGUCCAAUCACCAGAGCCCAAUGGAAAGGCCCAACACAAAGCCCAAGUGAAAUUAGGGUUUCACAUAAAAUGACAAUUAGGGUUAAGUAUUUCUCACUUAACCCAUUAAGGGCUUAAUCCAUUAAGUCCCUCACUCUACUAAAUAAGUCUUAUGGUGGGAUUGAGUGCAAUUCACAAUUCCAAUGGCCCACAUGUGGGUCCCAAUAAGUAGAAGGCCCAUAAAUCAAAUGUUAGGGUUUUCCAAACCCUAAUUAAGGUUUCCAACCCUAUCUUAGCCCAAUAGGACCAAAAGCUAGGUCCUUUGAUCAAUUAGGGUUCAUUAGGCCCAUUAUGUCACACCCCGAAAUCGAUGGCGGAAAUGUUCCGGGGCGAAGGACGUCAUGUAAAGUAUCACAACCAAUGUACAUAGUAAGCGUAGUAAACACAAAACAUUACAUUACAUAGGAAUAAUUACAUUUGUUUAAAAGCAAAGUAAUACAUGUCUUAUAGAUACAUUAGUUUGAACAAAAGUAAAGACGUGACUUCUAAAUGCUUCGUCUUCUACCAAAGAACGUGGGAUACUUGUCUAAUGUUGACCUGAGAAUACAAGCAGUUUUAAAAAUAUCAGCAUAAAGCUGGUGAGUUCAUAAGCGACUUGUUUUUGAAAAUGAACAAGUUUCCUUUAGUUUUCUGAAAAAGUUGUUAUUCAAGAAAAUCCCAUAUUUUCUUAUAAGUAAAGUUUAGUUAUCCGUUUGUUACACAGUUUGGUUAAGAAUAGUUAUGUUAUCCUAGGAAAAAUCCUUAUUUUCAUUAAAAGUUGGUGGUUGGUUAUCGGUUCGGAAUGUAGUGUACUAGUAUCUACCAUACUUGUAGUGUUAAGAUAAGCAUUCUAAAAGCCUGGUUAUCCUUGGGAAGUACAUUAAUUUUAACACGUAUAUAAAACUAAUAAGUAAGUAGAAAAGUUUUCAUAAUCUAAAUUGCGAGUUCCAUAAUCAUACAAUAGACUAGAUAAGGCUCGGAGCGGGUCCAGUAUCGUUUUAUGAAUUUUGUCACCUUUGUACCUUUCGGUCCAACUGUAGCUAGCAGCCAGGUGCGGGGUAGUCAAUCCCGUAUAGAUCUAUACACUCAAGUCACGUUCGCCCUCCAAGAGAUUCUGGUUACGGGGGUAGUCCUACACUCUCGUAACUAGGGGGAGUGUCACAAGGACGUGUCUCCAAUCUUAAGAUUAAUGAAUUAAAAGAUAAUAAAAUGGGAAAUUCUGUUUUAUUGGUCCUUCACUCUUGUAUCUAGGGGGAGUGUUAUCAAGGACGUGUCUAAAGUUCUAAAUUUAAUGUUAUUAGUCCUUCACUCUUGUAUCUAGGGGGAGUGUUAUCAAGGACGUUUUUAAAGUUCUAACGUUCAUGCUUUUAACAGUAAUGAUAUGGAAAAUCAUCUGUGAAAUAUAAAAUAUAGCACUUUAUAAUGAGUUUCACAAAUAGUUUGACAAUUUACUCUGCAAGUUAAACGGUUGGUUAGUACGGUUUCCAGUGUUAAAAGCAUACGAAAUAUGAAACAUUUCAAAUGAAAUAAUAAGUUUGAGCAAAAGAUUUCCUUGUACUUUUUCUUGUAUUUCCCCCUGAAAACAUUGAAAACAUGGAAAAAGGUGUAGGGGUAUGAACUCACCAGACGAGAAAUGUGCCGGUUAGGAUGCUAAGUGUCAGUUCGGGGCUUGAAUAUACGCGAGGUUCCUAUGUAAUACGAAGAGAUACAUAAUUGUAUCUAAUUAGACCUUGAACUACUAAUUAGAUAAGAAUAUACACUCCGAGGUGCGAAAACACUUCAUUUCAAGUGUUAGGAGUGAUCCGGGUCGCAUCUAAGGAGGUGUAAGGCAUAGAUAUGGAGUUUUCUCUUCAAGAGUAAACUCCUAAGGGAGAUGACAGCCCAUAGACCAUAUCCCCAUGAGUUUACGGCCGUAAAAUCAUGGGUGGUGUGUUCUUGGAUGCUUAAUGGUCUUAUAACACUUGUGGGAUGAAUCUUGGUUUAGUUCUAAGGCAAGGGAAGUGAUUUGAUCAACGUAUGGACCAUUUUAAGGAGUUUAUGGCUAUAAAUUAGGAGUUACGGCCGUAAAAUCUCAUGUACCCUUUCGUUUUGUGUUUUGGUGAUCCUAGGUUAUGCAUAAGUGGUUCUAGUCCAAAGUAUAAGCCAUGGAAGGAAGUUAGGGCACCAUUUGACCACUUUAUAGGAUUUUACGGCCCAGGAACCAUUCCUUGCGGGGUUUACGGCCAUAAUCUCCUAAGGAGGUGGUUUCGCUCAUGUUUAAGGUCCCUAACACAAUGAUAGUUGGUUCUAGACAUUAUUCCAAGGCUUAGGAGGUGUUUAAAGGGCAUUUUAACACCUUAAAAGGUGUUUACGGUCCUUGAAGGGGUGUUUACGGUCCAAGCAUGCUCUUGGGCCGUAAACUCAUGUUUAAUCCCCAAAUGUUAAGAUUUUGGUGUUCUAAGUCCAUUAAUGUAAGCCCCUAGGUCAUUGCUAAGCACUAGAAGUGGUUUGGAAGGGUUUUUGGGGCUCCAAAACCCCAUUUAAGGGUGUUUACGGUUUGGGAUUGUUCCUGGGCCAUAAAAACUUGUUUUUGGUCCUUUUGAAUGAUUUAAACACGAAUUUGAAAGCUAAACAUGUUAAACUAUAAGCUAGGAUUGAUCACAUACCAAAUUGGAGCUUAAAAGGGGUGAUUUUGGAUCAAAGUUUGAAUUUUAGAGAGAGAGUAGAGAGAGAGAGAGUGAAAAAGCUUCAAAUGAAGUCCACUCACCCUUAUAUAGGGUUUGAGUUUGAGGCUCGAUGGAAAUCUACCCGAUACUGACGUUAAACGAGGCUUAUGGUCGUACCCGAUUUUAGUUGUCGUAACCCGAUGCGGUCGAAACUAAAAAUUUUCCAAAUAAAAAUUUGGGGUGUUUUCAUGUGUUUCUAAUGGGUUUGGACACUCACAAGGUCAUAAUGAAAGUCUCAAUUUAAUUAACCUAAUCCAAAAAUUAACGAAAAAAAUUGAAAUACAAACGGUUUUACUGACGGAACGGGUUACCGUGACGGAAAAGUUUUCGGAUUGUCACACAUUAGGUCUUCAUUGGGUGCAUUAGGGUUUCAACCAUCCCAAACAAAUCAAACACAACAAGGCAAAGCAUACCGCCACCCGACACGGCGGCCGGUGGCGGCAAGAGGCGGUAGCCACCACCCUACCGUGGUGGUUUGGGUUUUCUUUUCCAUUAUCCUUUAUCGAUUACAUCAUACAACACAAAACCAUAUUAACAUGCAUACUAAGCUAACACACCCAUCCACACAGCCACCCACACACGGCCACCCUUGUGGUGGCCGGUGGUGGUUCAUGGUGGCAGCGACCACCUCACGGUGGUGACGGUGGCUAUACUCGAUUUUCCGGCUAUACAUAACACAAACACAUACUUUAGAUUGCAUAAUACUCUCCAACCACCCACCUGCAUAAUACUCUCCAACCACCCACCUGGUGGCUCAAGGCGGAGACAGCGGCGACUUUGGGUGGCCAGUGGUGGCGGCCACCAUGGCUAGCGGCCAUGGUGGUUCUUCCUCGAUCUCCGGCCAACAUCACACGCACCCGACUUCUUGGUUCCAUCAGCACACAUCUUCAAACACCAUACAAGAUGGAGUACCGAGAACAUAACCAUGUCAGCCGCUUUGGGAGGCAAGCAGCAAAGAAAACAAGGAACAACAACGACUAUCAGCCGCAUCUCAUGGUAGUGGGUGGUGCCCCACUAGCAAAACCCUAAUGGACCUAACGAAACCCUAAUGGGCUUCAAGAUUAGUUUUGGGCCUAUUGGGCCAUGUUGGGUGGGAAACCCUAAUUAGGGUUUAGAAAACCCUAAUUUUAGAUACGUGGGCCUUGGACUUCUUGGGACCUACUUUUGGGCCAUUGGGAUUGGGUUGUGUAUUAUGCCCAAUUACGCCAUAUGAUUUCUUUAGAAGAGUGAUGGACUUAAUGGAUUAAGUCCUUAAUGGGUUAAGUUAGAAACACUUAACCCUAAUCGUCAUUUUAUGUGAAAUCCUAAUAUUACUUGGGCCUUGAGUUGGGCCUUUCUAUUGGGUUUUAUUAAUUUGGCUAAUAAUGAGCCAUCCAAGAAUGAUCAUAUGAACUAGAAUGUUUAGAUGGGCUUUAGGAUAAGGCCCAUAUGAGGGUUCGGGCCCAAUUUGGAAAAUUGGGCCAUAGAUGGUCCAUAGUUGGGCCUUGGUUCAUUAUUAGACUUUUGGGCCUUUGGUUUGGGCCUUGAGCUUCAGUAAAGCUAAGUUAGGGGUAAAGUAGUCUUUUACCCCAAGCAUGGACUUAUGGAUAUUUGUUGGGGAACCAAUUUGUAAUUGGGUGCUAUUUUGUUGUUGACAGAUUCGGGAAUCUGUCAUCCAGUAGCUAGGGUUUUGUCAGCGGGACUUCAGCAGUGUGAGGUGAGUUUUCCUCCAGUGGGAAUAGGUCUAAGGCACCAAUGCCAGCCUGUUUAUGUAGUAAUAGCAUGUUGGGGUAAGCCCGAUGCCGCGGUUAACCUGAUGCAAUUUAUAUGAUUCCGAACUUCGGUUCGAUGCCGGGGUGGUCCCGAGAAGUAGUUAUGUAUGCUUGAUGUCUUUGUGAUUCAUGCAUGUUUAUGUUAUGUGUUAUAUAUUCCAAACAUCAGUCCGAUGCUGGGGAAGCCCGAUGCAGUAUAUGUGAUUAUGUUAUAUGUUAUGUUCAGUUUAUACCGGACUUUGGUCCGAUGCUGGGUGGGGCCCAAGUUAUUUCGGACUUCGGACCGAUGCCGGGUGGGGCCCUAGUUAUGCUAGACUUCAUUCUGAUGCUGGGCGGGGCCCGAUGCAGUGGGCAAGGUCCACUAUGUGUUAUAUGUGUUAUUGUAUGGUAUGUGGUAGUUUGGGGGAGGUCACUAAGCUUCAUGCUUAAAGUUUUCAGUUUUGGUUUCAGGUACUUCUACUAGCAAAGGGAAGAGCUCGGGAUGAUCGCAUGGCACACACCACAACUUUUAGUCUGGGAUUGAUUGAGAAUCUGAUAUAUAUUUUCUCAUUUGUUUUUGAUAUAGUAUUUGAUACGAGAUUUUGAGAUACAUGACACUUGGUUUUCUUAUUGAUUAUGGAUGAUUAUAGUUUUUAUAAUGUUUUCAAAACGAAAUUUUUUGGGUUAUAUUUUUGGGAUGUUUCACUCUAAUGCUUGAAUGAUCCCACACUCAAAUCUUGAAGACCUAAAGAUAGGUGUUCCAACUAAUAUCUCAGCAACUAGCUACUUCCCUUGGCGCCCUCAUCCGCCAAUCAAUAACGGUUACUAAAACCACUAAAUCUUGACCAUGCUGAAUAACCAUCCUGUGGGACUCUGUCUAUAGACCUCCCGUAUAAUACCCUUCUUGCCAAGGUUCUCCAAGCAAAUGUCCUGCUCUCGGGCUCUAGAAAUCAUAUCAUUCAGGGUCUCGCACCCUGACUCACUCACCAAAUCAGUCGUCCACGGCUGUACUGCAGUAACUGCAGCAACCUCUACCCUAUACCGGGCUACAACUACUCCCAAGACAUCGCCUCCAAACCCAAAAGUGCAAUAGAUCGCACAACCAAUCCUUACUGCCAGAUACAAAAGACCCAAGGCAACCCGAACUUCACAAAAUACUUAUGCCACAUCGACCUACCUACGCUCACCAGCACUGAAAUAACGUCGCCAACCCCUGAGACUAACCGACCCCGAGCUGGAAUACAACCUGAUCAUGGGGUCUCAAGGUGUCUCAUAGCCAUCAUUUUGAUAAUACCUAGAAAGAUCUCUGAUAAUCCAUAUAAUGACAUCGGACCAACUCCCAACCAAACCCUUGGGGUUGUGACUUCUUUGCUACGCGUAUGGGUCCUGUGCUUUCAGUAGUAUGGGACCAUACUACCUUCCACACCUACCCAUAUUUGUCUCAAGUAUCAUCACAACGCCCUAACAAUAUACAUAAUCUGGCAAGCACUCAAUCCUCACUGCUAGAGGAAUGCUAGAUAUCUAAUAACUGGCCUCCCAGCCUCACAUAACUCACCCAUCCAUGAAACUUCCAUCAACCCUGCAUCACUAGUGUAUGCUAUCCAUACAUAAUGCUGGACCCUAUAGACUUUCGAAUAUAUGAUCCUACCCUAAGACCCCAAUCAAACAAGAACAGAACAUAAGGCCAAACCAAACAUUCUCAAGUUACAAGAUCUUAAUUAUGUAUAACCAUGAUGCAUACACUAAGCAACUACAGUAAUGAUGUCAAUCUCAUAUAAAGGAAACCCUAGGCUAGCAGGCAUCAUGUAAUCAGACAAUUCUAUCAUGCAAUUCCUGAAGAUCCGCAGCUUAAUACUAACAUGCUGUUCUAACAUAUCAUAAUAUCAAAUAACCGUAUGGUAUUUUGGGGCCUACUUACUGGCUCCGACUGAUCGUACACCCUGCAUCCUCCUGUGAUAUUUUGAAAACCUUUUUGAAAAAUCAUUUUGGAAACCUUUCUAAAAAUCAUUUGAAAACCUUUUCCUUAGUUUGAGACUGGAUUCACACAAGCGUUCCUCCAAAUCACUCAAACCAAGGCUCUGAUACCAACUUGUAACACCCAUAAAAAUCAAGCCAAUUUAAAACUUUUUCAAACAUCCAAAAGCCAUUAGUUAUUACAAAAUGUUUUGAAAAUAGUUUAGUAUGAGAGUAUCCUAAAAACCAUAAGUCCAAAACAUGAGGAUGUGUACGGUCACAUUUUCGGCUUGCCAAGUCAUCUGAAACACAUGAAACGAUAAACUGAAACCGUAAGCACAAAGCUUAAUGAGUUACCCCUAAAAUACCGAUACACAUACAAUCCAAUAACACAUGUACAACUAAAACCACGUAACGGAUCCACAACGUUACAGACUGGAAUACCCCUGGGCCCACAGUGUGAGUCUAGAUUGCCUACCGGGUCCACAACUUACAUCUAGAUUGCCACCGAGCCCAUAGUACGAGUCUGGAUUUCCUACCGGGCCCACAACUUAUAUCUGGAAUGCUCCUAGGGUUUGUUGGCUACCGUACGGAGCAGUACAACCUCAACCCAUCCCACAUAACAUGUCGAGAUGUAACAGAUAAAUUCACAUACCAAUAAUCAAUAAUAUCACAGGUAGUCCUACAGGCCUACCAAACUAGCAUAUCCAACUAUCAUGCAUAUGUAACAAAUACUUAUCAUAACAACUACGAGGAUAUCAAUCGAAUCGGCCGGCCUUGGUGCCUUAGACCCCUUAGUAUAGUGAGGAUAACUCACCUGGCACUGCUGAAGUCCCACAGAUAAAACUCCAGCUGCUGGUUGGCAGAUUCCCGAACUGUCAUCAUCAAACAAUACCCAAUUAAUAAUUGGGUUCCAAGCCUAAAGUCCAACUCACACUCCAAAGGCCCAAAAUUCAAGCAAUGGGCCAAAUCCCAACAUAUGGCAUAAUUUUCUAAAUUGGGACCAGACCUCUACAUGGUCUUUCCUUAAGGCCCAUCUGUUUAUUCAAGUCUAAACUCUUGGUAUUCCCAUGGCCCAAUAUCAUGUAAUCAUAAAGGCCCAAUUAUGGCCCGUCAAUGGCCCAAUUUUCCAAAUUGGGCCCAAGACUCUCACAUGGGUUUUUCUUAAAACCCAUAUAAUUAUUUAGACCAUUUACUUAUUCUUGGAAAGCCAAUUAAUAGUCCAAUCACCAAAGCCCAAUGGAAAGGCCCAACACAAAGCCCAAGUGAACGGUGUUACUAAUUAAUUUACUUACUUUUAAAUUAACCUAAUUAUUAACAAAUUUAAAAGGGGUUUUAUCUGACUUUACAAGAUCAGAUGAACUUAAAUCAAAUUCAAUAAGUAAAAACACACUCUUGUUUAGGUUGAAUCCACUUCUUCCUUAUGGCUAGCUAAUGAUUACGGAUUGUUAAGUUGGUUUUUAGUUGUAUUAGUAAUUUAGUUUUAACUUUACCAAUAAUUAACUAAUUCAUGUCAAACCAUGUAUGUUCACACAUAAUUAAACACAGAACUAAUUAUGAAUGUAAAUAUGCUAUGUAAGAUUUGUUAUAUAAACGCAAUUGUAGUCACAAUACACGUUCUCUAGCACAGCUAAGCUUAUUUACUCUAAUUACUAACUAAGAUUGGUCAAUCCUAGCUCUAACAAUUUAAUGUUCACUAAAUCUUUAGGUAAACAAAUUCAUGCAGUUAAUGGUCACUAAGCUACACAGAACAUGCAAUCAAGCAAUUAGAGAAACAAACAAUAGCAUGCUAAGUAAUACAAAUCAAACACAAGCAGUUUUUACCAACUAAACUUAAUCCAUAAAAAUAGAGCUAUUCAUAAGUUGGAAGCUUCAUCUAGCUAAACAAGAGUAGCUAGAUUCAGCUGCUCAUCAUAGCAACUAACAAACCAACACAAAUUGAAGUAAUAGAAAACAUGUUCUUAAUUAACUAAAAUAUAGACCUUUACUCUUUUUGGUGUUGAAAACCUUUUUCCAGAACCUUUCUUUCGCUCCAAAUCGUCUUUUGGAACUCCUUCCUUUAGCCAAAAGGUUCUUUUUCUCGUAAUGAUCAGGAACACUUAAAUAGACUCCAAAACCCCGCGCCACGUCGUGGCUAUCCAGGUCAUGUCGUGGGCUUCAAGUUAUCCGUACCGGGCAAGGAUUCCUACGAAUCGCGAUCUUUAUCUUUUAUAAUUCACUGGCCACAUCGUGGCUGACUUUGCCACGUCGUGAUUUUAGUAUCUUUCGUGGAUUUAUUCAUCUCUUGUCUUCCAAGUUCCCAUGUUCNCUCCCAUGUUCUACAUAUUGUCACUUUUGGUCCCUCUCUUCGAAAAUCCUUUUAACUGACUGAAAAUAACAAUUUAAAGUCAUAAGUACCAUUAUUCUAAACAUAUUAUCAACUUAUUAAUAAAAAUGUAUUUAAAUACUGCCUAAAAAUAGGUAUAAAUAUGGCAAUAUCAAUGACAACAGUAAGGAUCAAUUGCAUAUACGAUGAGAGUAUUUCAUGGACUAAAUCGACAUAGUCCAACUAUCAGAUAGAGUCAUAGUAUCAGAGUAGGUAGCUGCUAAUAUUACUGGUAUUAAUGAUGUAAUAUGAGCUCGGGAAAAGUGACCUAACAGUAGGUCUUACAUGAAACCAUAAGGGAAAAUGUUGGCAGUCUAGGAGUCUAGGUAAAGUACUUUCAAAGUUAGGAAUGUUUACAGACAAGUGCUCUAUCGAGCAUAGAAAAGGAAAGGCUAGUCCUUAAACAAAAGAGAGAGAAGAUUUGUCAUCUUCUACUGGCGACGGGUAGCCAUUGAGCGAACCCUCAGAUCAGCCAGUUGGCGUACAACUUCCUGAAGAUGUCGUUCAUGAGCCCUCUGACGUGCUCGGAGUUCCCUAACUUCUGUUCGGGAUGCAACUAGCUGUUGUUGUAGAGCCUCAUUGGUCCUCCUCGUCAAAUCCAUGGCUUCUUCUAGUUGGCGGAUGCGAACAGUGUUAAGGUUAGAGUUGGCAUCCACUUCCACAACUCUGCCAAUGGCUGCUUGACCUUGCUCGAUGUUCCUGGCAAUCCUACGGACCAUGAUGGGCAAGACUUGGUAUGCUGAACCUCCCUCUCUUAUGCUGUAGAAGCUUCAGUCUCCGUUGAAAGGUAAGGGAUGACCUUGAUCAUCGCUCCAUCGGUUCAAGUUUAUUGCCCACAUGGGAGUGGGACCUUGAAAUGCCGGACGGGGGUUAGGGUUUGGUGCUACUGGGGGCAGGUUGUUGACUUCUGGCUCGGAGCUGGAGCUAUCCGAAAAGCCUUCUGCAUGGUGAUCAUCCAAAGGAAUCGGGUGAUCGUCUUCUGACUCCUCUUUGAGCCAUCGCCCAACGCCUUGGUUUGGAUAGUACGGAUCGCCGGGAUGGUGGAAGCCAGCCAUGCUAUCUACGCGAGAAUGGGGAAAUAAUGGUUAAUAGACGUACUAAUCUAGGAUACUUAUAAUAUGCUUGUUAUUAGCCGACCCAAUACUUUCAUAGUGCAUACCAAUUACAUGUAACCAAAGUAGGAUAGACCUUCGAAUAAGUGACCCUAACUCUAAGUCCACAAUCAAACAAGAACAGGAAAUGAAGCAAAAGUCACAGAUUCUAAGUCUAUAGCGCCUUAGUCACAUGUAACCAUGGUGUAUCCACUUAGCUACUAUUGCCCUACUAGUAACGACCCUUUUAGUUCUCACAUAUGUAGUUAAUAGAAUGUAGAAAACUCCUAUACUAUUCUUGUUCAGAUGUUCUUGUGGUAGUGUUGGUAAGUUUUUAGACUUGUUGCAACAUUACAAUCACUCUUAGGCACAUGCUAGUCACUCCUAGGAAAAUGUAGUUGAUCAGGCUACAUUUGCCCAGAUUUGACUAUAUGUCUCUAAGCCUAAUUAUGUUGUUCAACAAUCUUAAUACUUUUGUUCUGUUCCAGUAUGAUACUGAUCCUUUGUAAUAAUGGANAUAUAUAUAUACUUAGUUAAAUCUUUUAGUAUUUAAAAGUAUAUUUUCUUGGUCAGAGUGUUUUAGUCCUGAAGUGUUUAUAGUUCGUAUAUUUUUUAUGGGUUGAUAUACUUGAUUCACUAUAAACAAAGCUUUGAUACCAAUCUGUCACACCCCAAAACCGAGAACGGCGGAAUACGUUCUAGGGUGGAGGACAUCAUGUACAAUAUUAUAACAAUGAAUAAUAGUAAAAACAAGCAACAACAUCCAUUGCAUUAGUAUCAUAAUUGUAAUACAAGCGUGUUCUGUACAGUUUGAUAGACACCAAAAGUAUAAACUAAAUAAAAUAUGAGUCUUGUAUGUGCUCCAUCUUCUCAAAAGUUGCAUCAAUACCUGCCUAUUGUUUACCUGAGAAUACAAGUUAUUUUGAAAACGAAUAUCAGCAUAAAGCUGGUGAGUUCAUAAGUAUUUAGUGUCAUUGCUUAUAUAAAAUUGUUUUCAAUCAUGUACUAUAAUAGCUGUCAUCAAUGUUUGAAAAUAGUAUGAUCCCUAGAAAAUCCUAUAUUUUCCAGUAAAAGUAGUCUUCUACCAAGACCCGGUUAUCUGUAUGUUUGAUCCUUUGAAAAUGUAACAAGUUUUCCCAGUGAAACUAUCCGUAUGAAAAUAUAGUUUUUAGACUUCAUUCAUGUAAAGUAAUUGGGAAAAAUAAUGAUUUACCCCAGCAGUGUCACUGCCGGCUGAAUGUAAUAAAAUUGCAGGCUCCAGGUAGUAUUAAAUGUACAAUACACCUUGGGGAGUCUGUUUCGCCUUUAAUUAUUAAUGUGUUAAUUAAAGGUCCGAAUGUGAACUCGUAUGUAACCAUGCUGAUUGACGAUCGAAUAACUGAUGACCCUCCAGGUCACACAUAAUAUGGUGACAUUUGUCACCCCUGGGCCUAGACGGGUCGGACUGUAGCUAGCAGUCGGAAUAUGGGAGUGUCUGUCCCGUAUAGAUCUAUACACAAAAUGUCCGCUCUCCCUCCAGGAGACUCUAGUUACACGGUGAGAGGACAAUGAAGUUUCGUAUCACGAAAUAGUAUGUCACAUUCUGUUUUAGUAUAUUCUCUUGUAUUAGUGUAUAAUGUACUUCUUGGUAUAAUGUAUUGAGUGAUCUCUUGUAUAGUAUAUAGUACCCUCGUUGUAUAGUAUUCAUCGUGUAUCGACUCGUAACAGUACUAACUAUAGCAAGUAUCAUGGUAGUAAUAGUAACAAGUGGAAAUCCUUAACUAUACCUAUUAUAGUUAAAUAGAAGUGCUAGUUGCGUGCCUUUGGUACACAAAGGUAUUGAACUUGAAAUGAAGGCAUUUAUAUCCAACACAAACAUAUAUGAUAUAUAACUAAGAAAUCAACUACAGUCGGACAGAUAACAAAGUACCCUAAGUCCAUAAUCAAACAAGAACAGGAAGUAAGGUGAGCUAUCAAUCCUAAGUCCUUCAAGUCUUACUUAUAUAAAUAUAUUGAUGUAGAUAUGGUUUAGGAAACAAAGAAAGUUUGAAAAAGUUUGGAAAUAGUUUUUAUAAAAACUUUUACGUGUAAAAUGAGUUAAAUAAACAUUUAGAACAGUUUUGUUGUCAAAGCAAUUCAAAAUAUAGAAAAUCCUUUUUAGUUGCAAGCUAUAAAUCACAUGUGAUUCAUACUAUAACAUGUUGGAUUCAACUUGUAUUCCCCCCCCCCCAUAAAAGCAUUCAAAAACGUUUGAAAGGUUAAUUAAGGGGUAUGAAUUCACUAUUUAACGUAGGAUUCGAGUGUGCGAUCGAUAUGAGUGUUGAAUGUCAACGGAUGCUCUAAACACAAGAGGUCCCUAUUAAUCAUAUGGUGAUACGUAUAUGAGUUAGAGCUAGGGUGUUUCAUGACUAAACAUGAUGGGAAAUCACCCUAAAGACUUGGAUUCAUUAAGGUUAAGAGUCCCAUGUUUCAUACUUAGUGAUUCUUACAAGUUUAAUGCCAAAUAUGGGUACUAAAGUGGGUGUAUGGCCAUAAAAGUGAGUGUACGGCUAGGGAAUGCGGCCAGACUUGUGUGUGAGGUUGCACACUGGAGUGUGCGGCCGUACACAGGAGUGUGCGGUCGUACACUCCUUGUUUGAGUCCUGUGUGUCGAUUUUGAGGGGUUUUCAAGUGUCAAACUAAGUCUUCGAUCGAUUAUAGAGGCCAUACCCUCACUUUGAAGGAUGUUUUUGCAUGUGUGCGGCCGCACUCCUUCAAGGGGGUGAAGAACACGAAGAACUCUAUGAGUUUUAAGCUUAGAUUCAAGUGUUUUACCUCUAUAACAAGCUGAAAGAUGAUGUUUUUCACGUUUUGGAUACCUUCUAAGUGUUCUUGGAUGAUGUUUUUAGAGAGAAAGUAGAGAGAGAGAGAGAGAGAGAAGGUGCAACCAAAAAUGAAUGGAAGGGGGGGUCCUCUACUAUAUAUAGGGUCAGGUGUGAGGCUGGAAGGGGUUUGCGGUUGGGUGUGCGGCUGGCCGGCCGCACACACCUCUCUUGGUGUGUUUGGCUUGAUUUUGAGGUGUAACACCCUUCUUAAGGCCCAUAUCUAAGAUAUACUAAGCCUAAAGCACUCGUGCGGACCCAAAAUUNGGCUUUGGGAUGGCAGUGGUGGCGGCCACCAUGGCUGGUGGCCAUGGUGGUUCUUCCUCAAUCUCCGGCCAGCAUUACAUGCACCCGACUUCUCGGUUCCAUCAACAUACAUCUACAAACACCAUACGAGAUGGAGUACUGAGAACACAACCAUGUCAACUGCUUUGGGAGGCAAGCGGAAAAGAAAACGAGCAACAUCAGCGGCUAUCGGCCGCAUCUCACGAUUUUCCGGUGACCCAAGCAAAACCCUUGUUGUUCACGACAUCACAUGCGGCAAGAAUGAGUGUGGCAUUCCGAAGUCGGUGUCUAAGGCUAAAAAUGGUCUUCGGCGGUCCACAACAGUGACAGAAACACGACACGGUCCAUGGUCCAUGUCGGCGACGGAAAACAACUACAGGUUGGAUGGACGAUGGCUCGCAUCAACAGUUAUGGAGGGGUGACGGCUGGAGAGGAAAAAUGGUGAAGGUGGUGGCUGCAGAUGGCAUUAUUAGGGUUAGGGCAUGGGCAAUGGAACAGUUUUAUGCCCGAUCCAUACAAACUAUGGACCAAAUUGAUGGAAUUAGUCCCACCUCCUCCCUUUUCUUUCAAAACCAAUCCUUAAUUCGCCCUUUAAACCCUUGCUCCCAUAAUUCUUUUUGAUAUAGGUCCAAAAGUUACAAUACAACCCCUCCUCUACAAAUUAUUCCCAAUUAAGAUCCAUAAAUUACCAUUUCUACCCUGGCUUCAAGAAUCCUUCUCAGAAUAAGUCUGAUAUUUACUCUUUAACCCUCGUAACUCAAAAUUAUAUCAUUUGGCACCCUAAAACCAACACCCCACUAAUUAUUAUUUGUUUCGGGGCUAUAAUAAUAAUCUAAAAUAAUAAUAAAAUUACUUCUCGGGGGUUCCAAGUUUAUUAUUUAAUUAUUCUAUUUUAAACGGGAUGCUACAAUAUUUUCCCACCCAACCCAACCUUGCAGGUAAAUGGGUUGUAACCAGGUUGACCCGUUUAUGUAUCCCGACCUAACCUAUUAAAUAAAUGGGUUAAACCUGGGUUAACUCAUUUAAAAUAAAAAAUUGUAUAAAUUAACUAAACUUAAAAGUAUAAUAAAAGCACAAUCCCAAUUCAUAAAAACAAAAAAUUGUUCAAAUAACAUUAAAGAUGUGUAAUUUCGAACUGUUUUUGAAGAGUGACUAGUGUUGUCAAUGUAAAAACAAUAGGAAUUAGGAUUGCAUUUUUUUAAAAAAUAAAUAAUAUUAAAAAUAUGUAAUUUAAAAAUUAAUACUUAGAUUAAUAUGUGGUACUAUUUAAAUAAUUAUUAAAUUAAAUAUAUAUUAAAGUUAAAUGAGUUGGUGAGUUGAAAACGGGUUGAUGAGAUUUACCCAACCCAACCUAUUUAAUUAAAUGGGUUUGGUGGGUUGACACGUUUAUCCUAAAUGGGUUGAAAAUUUCAACCCAAUCUGCUAAUUUUGGGUUGGGUUCAGGUUGGGUUGGUGGGUUGGGUUGAUUUUUUCCAGCUCUACAAUUUUCCAUUCCCAUUAUCUUCCUUAUUCUUUAGAAUCUUCCCUAAGAAUCAUCUAUUCUUCAUUCAUUCAUUCCUAAGGAUUGUCUUAAGGAAUAGGCACGAAGUCCAUCUCUACUAGGGUUUAUCUAACAUGUACUAAGUCCAUAGUUAUCAGUGUUAACCAUUAGGCACAAAGUCCAUAACUGCCAAUGUUUAUCUAUAGGGCACUAAAUCCAUAGUUGCCAAUGUUUAUCUAAUAGGUACUAAGUCUAUAACUGCCAACGUUUAUCUUAUAGACAGUAUGUCCAUAGUUGCCAACAUUUAUCUAAUAGGCACUAAGUCCAUAGCUGCCACUGUUCAUUUGUAAGACACUAAUUCCAUAACUGUAGGUGUUUUUAGAGUACAUGUUCAAAAACACCUACAGGUUGCAAUCCUGUUAGCAUUCCACUGGACCAUCUAGAAUAGUCUGUGGUCGUCAUCUAUACUCUGCUAGAUGAGUUGAUCAACUUCAAAGUCAAUGCUUCUCAUCAUCUUACACCUCUCAACAUCUAUAUCAUCUUUCAUCUCUCAUCUUUUACAUCAUCUUUCAUCUACCCAUCUAUACCUAAUAUAUUUAUAGGUAUAAAAAUACAUAUAUACAGUUUAAAUCAAAUAAACUUGUAUAAAUCAUUCAUCAAACAUAGAUACGGAUAAUAUGCACACACAACAUAUAGUUUAUAUUAGAUACUUCAUAUCUAUGUGUAAGAUAAAGUAACUAUGCACUCACUUGUUAAAGUGAAGACUCGAAUUUGGGCGGCGCUUCGCUUCUAACAAUUUUCUUUUCCUUCGACAAUACCUAGUAUCAUUAUUACUAAUUUUUAGUCUAAUAUAUAAUGCGACUAAUUAUUAGUCUAGAUUCAUCAUUAAUUCAAAGUCUACUUUAGGAUCAAUCAAGUCAGGAACAACCAGGUAGAAUCAUAUCAUAGGUAGGGUCCAUUUCGUAUACGAAGUAUACUGUUUGGAAAACACACUUUAAACACCUCACUAAAUCACAACCUCGACAUCAUCCCUGUAAGUAGAUCAAUCAGUAUAAAAAUUUGAAUCACUGAUAAAUGUUGUUUAUAGGUUCAUAAUAAUGAUAAUGAACAUAAACAUAAGUUAUACUUGAAGUAGCAUAAGCAUAACUCACUUAUAAGGGGGUUUAGCGAGGAAUUGGGCUCUGCACGGGCAGAACUUCUGAGCUAAAAGCUCUUAUUCUCGGGGCCUUCUAGCUCUCCAGAACUCGCCUCUAACACCUUGGGGUGUCAGGGAAGGAAAAAGGGUUAUGGGGGUGUUUGAGAGAGAAUGGGAUAUGAAUGGUGUGAGAAAAUCAGGAAGAAAUGGGUUCUAUUUAUAGGCUGGGUGGAGGGUUGAACGUUGGGCGUUCCCUAGAUGAAUGUUGGGUUUUUCCUAGCUGAAUGUUGGGCGUUUCUAGCCAUGUGUCGGUGGGCAUUCCCUAGAUGAAUGUUGAAUGCUGGGUGUUCUCUAGAUGAAUGUUGGGCGUUCCCUAGCUGAACACUAGUUGUUUGGUGGUGGUGGGUGGUCAGGGAUGGUGUGUGGUGGGGUGAUGGGCUGUGGGUAGUGGUGAUGGGUUGUAACGCCCGCGGAUUCGGGUUGGUUAGUUUAGAGACAAUAAGCGUUAAAAAUGAGUUUUUCAUAGAAGAUCAUUUAGAAUAACUAAUCUUAACGAGGUUAUAGUAUAUGUCAUUAGGGUUCCGUACAUAUAAAUAAUGUUGAAAUCCAAGUUAUAACGAAGAAGUUAUGACUCGUCGAAGUUUUACGGCUAAGCUGGCACAACAGCGCGUAACGUAUAAAGUGAAUUUUUGAUAAAUUACUUUUUAGCCUUAAGGAUCUAAACAAAAGUUGUAGUAUAUGUUAAAUCAAGAGCGUGCAUAAAAAGAACGUCCAAAUCUGACUUCAUAUGAGGAAGUUAUGAUUUUUCUAAGAUUUAGCAUAGUAGUGCACAACCCGGAAUUCGAAUUUUAGUUCAACCGAUUUUUAGCCGACACAAUCAAAAUGAGAAUUGUAGAUCUCAUUAAUAGGAGUUCGAAGAUAAAAAGACAGUAGAAAACGGAGUCUGUAUAUAGAAGUUAUGAAUUCUACACGGUGGUUAAUAGUGUAAUCCUCUCAUACCGUUAAAUUUAAAAUUGGUCGAGAAUUAGCCGAUGGGGUCAAAAGGAAAGUUUUAGAGUACGCCCCCACCUACACGUGGAUACAAAGAACGUCGAAAACGCAACUCGUAUGUGAAAGUUGUGGAAUUUAGAAGACGGAAGGGUGUUGUUGCGAAGGGGGUGACAUGGUUUAAUCUGGACCAUUGCUUCCUCCCCACGCCUUAGCACCAGAUGGUCACACCUGGCCCCAAAUCGACGAGUUGCAGGCUCAAAGUCGACGCGUUGAGCCACUUUUCAUCCUAUAAAUAGAGGCGUAAAUCACUUAAUUUCUCAUACUAUUUUAACCUAUUCUCUCCCAACACCCCCAAACCCUCAAGGCUUUUCCCUAACACUUCCUAAGUUUUAGAGGUGAGUCCCAGAGUGCUAGAAGGCUCCGAGAAGAAGAGCUUUGGCUCAGAAGUUCUGAGCCUGCAGAGCCCGGUUCCUAUCCAAAUCCCCGGUAACUGAGAUAUGCUUACCCUACUUUAAGUAUAACUUAUAUUUAAAUUUAGUAUUGUUAUUAUGAACUUAUAAUCAAUAUAUAAGCUAAUAUUAUGACUGAUAUAAGUGUCGUUAUAAUAUAUUUUUAACUACUCGUGGUACAGGGAAUCCGAUUUGAAGGGCCGCCUGGGUUGUUGGAUUUCAAAAGUGCUAUAAUGUCAAAAUGAUCCUGCCAUCCGGUGUUUCAUGUCUAGCCUUGUCUAUACAUAAUGGUUGAAAAAUAUUGUUUAAUGCUUAUAUAAUAAUAAUAAUAAUAAUAAUAAUAAUAAUAAUAAUAAUAAUAAUACUAAUACUAAGACUAAUAAUUAGUCACGAAAAACAUUAGACUAAAUUCUAGUGGUAAUAAUAUUAGGUUUCGUCGAAGGAAAUUAUAUUGUUAAGAAGCGGAGCACUGUCCGAGUUUGGAGUCAUCACUUUAACAAGUGAGUGCAUAGUUACUUUCAUCUUACACAAAUAUGAAGUAUUUAUAUAAAUUACGUGCUAUGUGUGCAUAUUAUAUGUGUUCUCGAUAUCUAUGAUGGAUGAACAAAAUAUAAAUGUUUUAUUCAAUUUAAACCUUAUAUGUAUAUUAUACAUAUAAUUAUGAUGGGUAAAGAUGGGUAGAUUAAAGAUGAGAUGAGACGAGAGAUGAAAGAUGAGAUGAAUUAUGAUAGAUGAAAGUUGAUAUAGAUGAUGAGAGAUGAAAAAUGAUGAGAAGCGAUGACCCCGUCAUCUAGCAGAGUAUAGAUGACAACCACAGACUAUUUUAGACAGUGUAGUGGAACAAUAGAAAGCUCGCAACUUGUAGGUGUUGUGAACGAUGUUUUCAUCAGAUGUACUCUGAAAACCCAUUGACAUGUAUUGUGGGUGGACUCCCUAAAAUAAUAUUUUCAAUAAAAGAGAUAAACCCUGGCAACUAUGAAUUUAGUGCCUCACAAAUGAACACCGGCAGCUAUGAACUUAGUACCUGUUAUAUAAACCCUGCAGCAAUGGACUUCGUGCUUUUUCCUUAGGACAAUCCUUAGGAAUAAAGGUUGAGGAAUAGAUGAUUCUUAGGGAAGAUACUUAAAAAUAUAGAAGAUAAUGAGGAUGAGUAAUUGGGUGGGUUAAUUGUUUACUGAUGAAACAUAAUAACUUUAUUAUUGUGGGUUAAAAACCCUAUGUACUCACCAGGUUUCCCAAUGAAACUCAUUCAAUUUAUUUGUAUCACAGGUGUCGAUACGAAGCUACAUUACAUUGAGAGAUUAAAGGAGAUGCAAAUCACUAAUGUAAAUAAAUGUAAGGUCUGUUUAUGCUUAUGUUUCUGUAUUGACAAUGACAUCCCAAAGUUUUAAUAUAAACAAAAUACAUUUCUUUGGAAAAGCUUUGAUAAUAUAUUUAUCAUGUUUUCUAGAAACAAAUUCUGCAACAUUAUUCUUUAAAAAUGAAUACUUUUAUUUUCAAAUAAGCAUAAAUAAUUUUUUUAAAAUGACCGUGAAUUUGGGAUGUCACAUGGGUGAUGGAGGCAGAUGGUUGUGAUGGAUGGUGGUGGUUAUGGUGUGAGAGAGAGAAAUUGUCGAUUUCAUUAAUGGUCAACGAAAACACCUCACACUCGUUAUAGAAAUGCAAUUUUGCAAUUUUAUAUAAGAAAACAAAGACAUCUUUCCAUGAACAAAAAAAGUAAAACAGGUUUUAUUUUAGGCAAUAAACCCUAAAAUUAUGAUCAGUUUGAUUAAUGUGAAAAGUAUGACCCAAUUAUUUACAAGUAUCAACACACACCAUACAAAGGCAAAAUAACUCAUGGUAAUUAUUGUUAUCAAAAUCACCCCACCUCAGACAAGACAAGGAGAAUAAAAAAGUAAGAAAUAACUUAAUAUACUUAUAAUGACGGAAUUAUAGAGCUAAAUUGCAAUGUAGUUGAACAUUCUUACAAAAUUAUCUCUCAGGGUUCAAGAGCAUAAUUUUUACUUUCGAUGAGGCUCGAGGGAACAACAUAACAUCCUUCGCAAUGUCAAGUAUUUUUAAAGCAUCAAGAACUCCUCUUGGUGUGAUGGUAAUGUCCUCGAGAAAAGGGGAAUAAGCAAGAAGAAGCUUCAUAAAAAGCAGUUCCGCUCUUGAUCCUUCUAAAUAUUCCAUAUCCACAGUUUCCAAAUGGUUCAAUGUACAAUCCAAACAGUUUGGGGAUUCCAAAUGAUCUGAAGCUGGUCCCACAUCAACUUGAGCCUCCUGAAACAAUUUAAAAAUGCAACCACAGUUUAGCAUCCAACUUUUGCACCAUAUAAGCAAAAUAAAUAUAGUCUUGGUACUCUGGACUUUACCACCUGCACACGCAGCAUAUGCAUAUGCAAGCUUUCCAGAUUGGGUGAGUUUCGAAUCAAACAAAGAGCACCAUGAAGUUGAUCCAAAUCACCAAGUUCAAAAUCUAGCAACCACAGAUGCCUUAAACUACCAAGCUCACAUGGAAGCAAUUUUGGAAUCUCUUCUGUAGACAAAAACUGUGAAAUUAAAGUUAAUUUUUAACUUACCCGAUAAACAUGAGAAUUACAUAUUGAGGAAGAGCAUAAAAAGUUUACCUUAAGAUAAUGACUGUCGAUACAAAACUUUCUAACUUUAGGCAAGCUACUCAACACCGUGGCCAAAUUCAUUUCUUCAACUCGUACAAAAUUUUGUAUGGGCUUCUGCAAAGCAAUCACAACGUCAAAAAGGCAUGGACUGUCCAAUAACCAGAGCAACAUGGCAUCAUGACAUGCAAUGACAGUCAAAUUCCACAGUUUUAUAGCUUUGAUGUUGAAAUUGUAAACUUUUUUGCACGUUUCCGGGCACAACUUCUUAAGCUGUGGUAGGUUGACCUUAGCUCCACACAACCUAGCAGCAAAAUCAAUAUUCUCGAAAAAAAGUUCUUCAAGAUUGAGAAAUCCUUCAAACUCAAGUGGUGGCUUAAAGAAACAGUUUUCCAAAUCCAACUUUCUCAAUUGUAGACAAGAAUACACAUGAGAAGGAAGUUUAUAACGUUGAUUUGAAUUAGUAAGGACAAGGUCAGUGACACCGUUUCUUGAUAGAAGUAGCAUGAAUUGAUCGACUUCUUGGAAGCUAUCAAGAACUAUAUUUGGCAUAUGAAGAUAAAAUUUCAAGAUAGGACCUUUGUGAAAGGUCAAGACUUGGAUAAUGAUCCUUAUAAACCCAUUACGACCAAAAGCUCCAUUUUUUGCAAACUUUUUAGAGAACUGGUCAUCGAAAACCAGCACCCUCAUUUUGGUCCAUCUGUGCCUCCACUUUUUUGAUAUUAUGUUUGUCUUUGCAGCAUCUUCAAUAGGAAGCUGUUCUAAGAUCAAGUCGGUCAAGUGUUCUGGCAAGUUGUUGAUUUUAUCUUCCUCACCAUAAAUGACUUCCGUCUUUUUAUGUCUCUCUAUUAUUAGAUUCACUACAAAAAAUUAAAAAUGGGAUCAAGUAAAGCAAGAAUGUUAUUCCAUAGUUGUACGAGUGUGUCCAAGCUAGAGCAAUAUUAGCUAUACGAAAGCAAAGCUAGGCCAUACAUAAAGCAUCACAAGAAAACUUGUCUUAUGAAAUGCAUGAAGGAUGAUAACCAAACAAUUUCAGUCCAAGAUAAUGAGGUUCAGGCAUGAAUGAUGGAGGGUUUUUCAGUUAAUGGGUUCAAUGAAAACAGUUAAAAGAUAUAUGGGAAUUUAAUCGAUCAUUUACUGGGAUACAAUUUCUUUUGGGUUCAAUUUUUGUCAAUCCUAAGGAUUCUUCGUGCAUCAAUGGCUUACCCUGGCAAAACCUAACUUAAAACAACAUACAUGACCACAUAAUAUUCAGUCUACUAGCAAAAACUAGAUUAUACCAUUCAUACUUGAUGUCUUGCAAAGUUAACAACUAUUCAAUUAUCUAUGGAACGCAUGUAAUUAAUAAAAUCUUACCACAUUCGGUUUCCUGAUUUCUGUUUUCCAGUGGAUAUGUGAGGACUGACAACGACUACCCAAAACAGGGUUUACGUUUCCUACCGGAAUGAGCAAAAGAAUCUAAACAGCGUAGCUCAAACAAAAUCCCUUUGCCACACGACAUUCAAAUAAUAAAAAAAACAUGGAGGUUUAUGAAGUAGAAACUUACCCAUCGACUAAGUGGUCUAUAUUUCAGGGUAAAAUGUCGUAGAAUUGAGAACUUAGGGUUUACUGUCAGCGCCUAAAUUAAAUUCACAGUAAAUUGUUAACCCCUGUUAAACCCAUUAUUUAUAGUUUUACAUGUUAUUAGUUUGAGUAAAUUGCACGAAUGAUCCAUAUAUGGUUUAGGGUAAUAUGCAAAAGUGGUAACUAACGUUUUUUUUUUUUUUUUUUUUUUUUUUUUUUUUUUUUUUUUUUUUUUUUUUUAAUAUA